rnacentral:lncRNA from 1 species
CACUGUGAUCCAUCGUGACGACGUUGAUUGGAAUGAAAUCAAGCAAAGUCUCGAUGCAUCCGGCCAAGAAAGCAUAUUCAACGGCCUUAACCAUGACAUCCCAUACUCUUCAGUCGCUCUGAUUGAUAAAACAAGCCCUACGCCAACAAUGGUUGCAGUACUUCUAAAGGCAGGAGUACCCCUAGCCUCCACCAAAAGCACUCUGACAGCCGCCAAUAUCUCUAAAGACCUUACACAAGCCGAUGGACAAAUCUCUAAAGACCUUAUACAAGCCAACGGCGCAGGGGUAGCACCAGCUACUCAGGAAGCAGAAAAGCAGGUGGCACCAGCUAGUUAGACACGAUCUCGUUAAAGUAUAUAAUUAGCUGGCUUUGUUUAUCGAUCAAACUGUGCUGUGCGGUUAUGUAACUAUAUAUUACUAUUACAAUAAAUUUGAAAGCCAGCAGUGUUUCGACUGUUACGGGUGUCUUGGUUAUGCAAAAUUUCAGAGUAUAUGUAGCUGAUCAUAUCUGAAAAUAAAAAGCCUAUUACUAUCUUAUCAUCUAAUGUUUGCUCCACCUACUUCGUACUUCCUUCUAAACAAGUUCUCAGACAAAGUUGAAAAUAAAGACCUUAAAAACUUUUGAUAGUAUGUUUAUCUAGUAAUAUCUAAAAUCCAAUAAAUAAAAACCGUGACUCCCCAGUUAACCAACAAAAUUACAACUUGCUUAAAUGGAUUAUGUAACUGAUAUUUCCUUUGAUUAGGUUAAAUAAUUUUAUCAAAGAUAUAUGACUUAAAAUUUUAUGGGUGAUCCAUGCCAAAAUAAUUCAAAUCAUGUUUCAUGUCAAAAUUUUAUUUAAACAAAAUCCACAAUUUCCAAAUAUAUAAACUAGAUAUAAUUCGAUUCCUUUUAUUACCUAUGCUCAAAUACAAUAAUUAAUCCUAGUGAGAAUAACUUGAAAACUGCAAUUAACCCAAAUGCUAUAGACUGAAAAUGUCAUGGCUAGAAGAAUUGGUUCAUUUUUUUAGUUUAUCUGUGCAUAUUUAGAAAGUAAAUUGAUUUGGUUUAGUAGUUAAGUGUUCUAAAUUGAGUGCUUGAGGUCUUAUGUUCAAUUCUCUAUCCUUAAAUAUUUUUAUUAAAUUUGUCUCAAUAUCUGGAUUAACAUGUAUAGAUUAUCUUUAAUUUUUGUUUGCUCACCUAUAACAAUCAACCUACUAGUUUGGUGGUAAGGUUUUAGUAUUCCUUUAGAUCUCAAGUUCAAAUCUUGCUGUAUGUGAAAGUGGUAAUUAACCUAAACCCUCUUAAAGAGUGAGUCAAAUGCAAACUCUAAAGUGAUAACAAAUAAAUUAUGAUAUUGUUUUAUUUUCUUUUUAAAUUGAGAAUUAUUUCUCAAAACUCUCUCUCUUGCCAUCCCACUUCCCCCUCAUUCUCCACUUUGUUUUGCACGUUGUUUUCUUUUGUUGUUAUAACGCCCUUUUGCCAAAUUUUCUUUGUUUUCUAUUCCUUCCCAUCUCUUUUGUCUUUCCCUUUUUCUUUAGUUUCCAUAAGAUCACAAUGAACACUCUAAUGUGUAAUAGCCCAAAUUUGACUGGGUUGAAAGCAGAAUAUAAAAAUUAAAAUGUCCAUUUAAAAAGUCCAAUUACAAAACCCUACCCAGUAGGCCCACUGUUACUACCCAGCAACCCAAAUAAACCCAAUAACCCCAUAGCCCGUUACAAUAACCCAAUACACCAAUACAGUCAUGGCUCAAAUUCUUAGCAGGCCCAAUGAGCCCCAAACACACAUCAAACCCUAUAGUUUCUUCCUAACUUUUUUUCCUCGCGCCGUAAGGGAUUCUGGAAGCUUCGGGGAGCAUCUGUCCAGCUCCCCGAAUCGAGGCCAUCAAUGCAGUCAAGGCCGGGACCGUCAUCGCCAUCAUCGAAGCCUUUAUCACCGCCACCAUCAACGCCCAAGACACGCCAGAAUCUGGCAUUGGCUCCAUUAGCGUGCAAACAUCAGUGAUUGAGCAAGAUUCUCGUGGGUUACCUGCGAACAAAAAAGAAACUAAAAUAAAGAGAUUUCAGCAGAUCACAAUCAAAGAUAUGAUACAGCAGACAAGAAAUGGAAAGAAAUCUUUGAUUUCUUUCCAAUUUAUGUAAAUCACAGUAGUGGCUAUAAAAGCCUGAAUCAAACAUUGUAAAAGGACUUUUCUUACGAAAUAGAAAUAUAUAUUCACAGAUAUUCAUUCAAAAAUAUCAACAGUCUCUCAAAAGGUGAUUUACAUCGCAUAUCUUGUGCUUAUAUUUUGAAUAUAUAUGAACUGUUCUAACCUGCAUGAGUAAGGAUCUAAGGGAAGAGAGAUUACCCGUGGAAGGACGAAGGUUUUUAAGCCUUCAGACCACCGUGUACGACAGCGCGUGAGGCGCGUGUGCAAACACUGCACCGUGGCCGGAGGUCGGAGCUGGGACCUCUCUCUUCCCCUUUGCAGAGUUUUUUUUUUUGUUUUUUUUAAAGACCAGUGUUAAAAUGAUCUUUAAGUUGCAAAGUUGGCUUAUAUAGCCUCUUCGAAACGAUAUCGUUUCUACUUAACUCAAUAAGCUCAAAACGGUGUCGUAUUAAGCCAUAGGAUCCGCGCGUUGACCCGAUUACCCGGGGAGGAUCCGCGUGUUUUUAGAAUUGGGUUAAUUACCCAAUCGGUCCUUUCGCCUCUUUUAAUUUAUAAUUACGUAUUAUUUUAUUUUUUUAAUUUGGCCCUAUUAUUUUACAAUUGUUUCAAUUUAGUCUCGACAGUUGUUAAAUUACAUUCUGGGAAAUGUUGCCGUUUUGAGGAAUAGGGCAACUUGCCCAAUGAGUCCCUCUUGUUUUACGCGCGUUUUAAUUAGGGCCUUAAUUCACUGUUAUUUCUUUUAAAUUUCCCCUGAGAUUUUAUUGAACUUCAAAUUUAACCCUAUAUAUUUAUUAUAUUGUUAUUUGUUUUAUUUUUAACCUUGUUUUUAUAUUAUAUAUUAUAAAAUUAUUUUAUUAUAUAUUAUUUAUAUUAUUAUUAUUUAUUAUAUAUUAUUUUUCACAAGUUAUUAUUAUUUUACAUCAUUAUUUAUAUAUUAUUAUAUUAUAUGUUUAUUAUAUAUUAUAUAUUAUUUUUAUAUAUAUUCUUUUAUAUUAUAUAUUAUAAUUAUUUUAUAUAUUAUUAAGUCAUUUUUAUAUUAUUAUACAUUUUUAUCUAUAUAUUAUUAUCAUUAAAGGUUUUAAACUUGUAUUAUAUAUUUAUCUUUAUUUAUAUAUUAAUAAAUUUUUUUAUUUAUAUUCUAUUAUUACACAUUUUGAAGAUAUUAUAAUAUUAUAAUACAUAGUUUUCAUCAUUAAUUAUUCAUUUUAAACUUAUAUUUAUAUAUAUUAUAUAAUUAUUUCAUUAUAAACAUAAAUUCUUUUGCAUAUUUUAUAUUCUAUACAUUAUUUUACUAAACCAAUAUCUUUUGUAUUUUUUAUGUAAUUAUUAUGCUUAUAAAUACAUUUUUAUUAUAUAUUAUAUUUUAAAUUUAUUAUUAAAUAUCACAUUUUUAUUAUUUGUUUAUAUUAUACAUAUAUUUUUUUUUAAACUUUUGUUUUUAUUAUUAUACAAUAUUUAUUUUUACUUUAGUAUUAAUGUAUUAUUGUUAUGUUAUAUAUUAUAUCUUAGACUUUUAUAUUUUAUUUUCAAAUGAAUAUUUUUUUAUAUAUGUACAUUGAUAUAUUGUAUAUCAUGCAUCAUUUAUAUGAUUAAAUAUAUGUUGAAUUAUAUGUUUAGGGAUUUUUACCUAUUUCUUCUUUAAUAUGUAUUCCGUUUUAUGUAUAUCUUUCUUAUUUAAAAAUUGUCAUGUUUUAUUUCUUAUAUAUGUUGAUUAGUGUAUGAUAUUUAUGCCGUUAUGCUCUUACUUUCCUAUCAUUGUAACAUGUUAUCUCGUAUGUUAUGUUAAUAUGCUCCUUCAUGCAUCGAUUUUUUUUUUAAAAAAACGAGACUUCAAAUUUUUCAAAAAAAUAAAAAGGCAAUGCUCGGUGUUUGGAAGCUUCGAGAAAAGUAGUGCCCUAACUUAUUGAGUUGCGACUUUUCUCGUUGAGUUCGAAUAAUCAAGUACCCUUCUAAGUUUUAAAGGUUUUCCAAGUGCAAGCCACUAUAUUGGAAUUUCAAAGCAAUAUGUCCUAACUUAUUGGAUAUAGCGUUUUGUGGUUUCAAGAUAGGAUUUCCAAAAAAGGUUAACUUAAUGUCAAUACUUUGAUACGAGUGAAUCCCAAUUUUCAAAAUUAAAAUAUUUUAAAGAGGACUACAUCUUGAAAUUUUUGAAUUUCCGACAUUAAAGACACUUGAUAAUCAAUUAGGUACCAAUUUUUGGGCGUUACGAGGGUGUUAACCCUUCCUCGAACGUAACCGAUUCCCGAACCCGUUCUUUUAUUUCGUAGACCAAAACUAAUGAUUUUAAAACAAAAUGUUUUAAAGGUGAACCAAUCGCACCUAAAAAGAUUGGUGGCGACUCUUGUUUUUGUUUUUAAAGUCGAUUCCCAUUUUCCAAAACUCGAUUUAAAAAUGGUUUCGACAGCUUGGCGACUCCACUGGGGACUAAUAAGAGAGUCAAGCCGUGUAAUUGAUUAUCUCUUGUCUUAAUGUCAGAAAUUAAAAAUUUUAAAAUUUAAUUCUCUUUGCAUUACAUGUGUUUGUAUUAUUGCAUGUGUUGCUAUAUCCUGAUACGCAUUGCAUUUGCAUGACCGUUGUGGUCACACCCUUAAGUGGGAGUGAGAAGCUACGCCUUCGUGAGGUUUUCGCCUUCGUGCAGGAUAGUGGAUCACUUUCGGGAUACAUCCGUACCUAUGGUUUUGUGAGAUUUUCAUCUCCGUGUAGCCAUAGGAAAAUGUAUUCCCCUGAAUCGAACUCGAUUCAAAUGAGCCUAUAAUGGGUGAAUCGAGGAAUCUGCUGGUUCGGGUACCUCAAACUUUAGAACCAACCUCAUAUCGAAAGACCGUAUAAGCCCAACUUAGUUAGGUUUAAACCUUAGAUAUUACCCUUAUAAGUUAUCAUUGAAAUUUAUUGAUAUCAUGUGAUACUGACUAUCUCUUUUCUUUUGUUUGCACGUCAUUUUGCAUUUACAAAGAUAUCGGUUCACGAUCAGUUUUUAAGUUAGGAAGUUUUAUUAUGGAGAACGGACUUCUUGAUAGAGUGGAAGGCAACGCCAACGUCCAUAGAUGGUCUGAGCAAACUCAACUAGAAAAGGGAGAUAGUAUAGCUGAGGGAUACCUGUCGGAGUUGUCAGAUUAUACUCGUAUUAGUGUCACGCAGAAUAAUCUCCAGGAGCUUAAGGAAAUUUGGGAUCAGUGGGGCAAAGAGACCAAGCAGUUAUUCUACGAUAAUUACGGAGACUUACCGUACUUGCUUGAUGUUCAGAUAGACGAGCACUUAUUCCGAGCCCUUGCUUAGUUUUGGAACCCAGCAUACAAUUGCUUCACUUUUGGGGAGUAGAUAUGGUACCUACUGUGGAGGAGUACACUGCCUUGCUUUGUUGUCCCAGGUUUCAGAAUGAUAGGAUCUAUUCUCGAGCUGCUUGUGUCCCUACUUUUUGGAAGAAAUUGAUGAUUAUUACGGGGAUGAGCGAGCAGUGGGCCACGACCCAAAUUAAGGAAAAGGGUGAGUGCAAGUGCAUUUUGUGGGAUGCUUUGAAAGAUUUGAUUCUGACACACCCUGAUGAGACGAAGAAGGUGGAUGUUUUUGCCUUAAGUUUGUAUGGAUUGAUGGUUUUCCCUAGGGCGUUGGGAUACGUGGAUGAGGCAGCCACGGAUCUUUUUCAUUGACUCAGUAAAAAAGGUCACUUCUGUUCCUGCAAUUUUGGCGAAAACAUUCAGGUCUUUAGGUGCAUGUAGGAGGGAUGGUGCUAGCAGGUUUAUAGGGUGUGCUCAGUUACUUUUGGCUUGGUUCUACAGUCAUUUUCGGUUGAUAGAUAGGGUGGUUUGUCGGGUCUUCUUCGAGGAUUAUUCACCGUUGAAAGACAUAGUAGCUUCAACUAGGAGAGUUGAUGUUCCAGAAGAGAAUUGGAUUGCGCUACUUCAGAACCUUCAGUCGAAAGAUGUCGAGUGGAGGGCUCCGUGGAUGAUUCCUGGUGAGGUUCUUUAUCGAUGCGGCAGUUUUGAUUGGGUCCCCCUGUUGGGAAUUUGGGGUGCCAUUAGUUAUGCCCCUUUGCUCGUGCUGAGGCAGCAUGGUUUGAGACAGUUCGUACUAGCAACUCAGGGGUUGGCUCAAUGUGAGUUCGUAUAUAGAGGAGCCGAUUAAAAGAGGAAGGUUAGUGAAGUUUCUAGUGCUUAGAAGAAGACUUGUCGGUUGAAAGGAGUAGCUAUUAGUCCUGCAACCACACCAGAAUACAUUGAAUGGAGAGGUAGAAGGGUUAACGAUAAUAUCCCUAAGCCAAGUGUGGAAUGAGCUCGACCGAUGGAAGAAUAUUUGCAAGUAAGGCCCUCAGAGUCAAAAAUUAUGAAGCAGGAGUUCGAGAGAAAGAACUUGGAGUUCGAGAAGAGGAUAGCAAAGCUCAAAGAGAAAAAGAUGUACUUGAGUUUGGACGUCAAUGUUCAAAAGAUGGAGCUCGAGAAAGAGAGAAAAGAAAAGAGAAAGAUCGAGAUGAUCUAAAGGAGCAUUACAAAAGGGAACAAGUAUCCUUGAGGAGAGCGAGAGUAGGAGGAUCUUCAGAUCAGUUGCAGAAAGAGGUCCAAGAGGAAAAGGCUAGAGUCGAGUAUUAGGAGAGGAAGUUCCAAGAGAUGCAGGUGUAGAAUUUGGCAUUAGAGGAAGAGAAUAGAAGAUUGAAGAAUAAGGUAACUGAGCUUGGAAGAUCACUACGUUGGCACCAAAACCAUAAUUCUACGGUCGAGUUAAAAGAGCUAAAAAGCAAGGUUGAGGAUUUGGAAGUGGCAUUGCAUGAUGGUGAACUCUGAGUUGAGCAGCUCGAGGCGCAAGAAGAUUAUCUGAAGGGAGAGCUUCAUCAGGCUAGAGGACAGGUUAGAGAAAGGGAUCAUGUCAUUGGUGAAGCCAUAGCCCAGAUUCGAGAGGUUGCUGAAUAUGUGCAAGACUUGGCAAUUCGAGCUGAUGUAUUGAGUUUGAUGUAUUCAUCAUCGUCGGAUAUAGGACAAGAGUUAGCCAUUUUAUUAGAUAGAGUUAAAGCUUUGGGCCUUAGGGCGAAAGCGUAUUUGUAAUCCUCUUGUAUGUAAAGAUAUUCUUUUUCUAAAUAAAAUUUUCUAAAUGAAUUUGAAUCAAAAUCGAUAUCCUUUUUGCAUUCAUGCAUUUGCAUCUCAUAGCAUUUCAUCAUAUCAUUUGCAUUCAAAGUUAUAGAAAGACCUUGAUUAGUUAAAAUUUACUUUAAAAGGUAGAAAGAAAAAUCUGGAAAUCACACAUCCUUACGACACUCACACUAAAACUAAGAGCAUGGAUCAAAGGUUCGAGCAAUUACAAAAAGAUAUGCAAGACCAAAUGCAAGAGUAGUUGGCCAAAAUGCAGAAUGAAAUGAGGGAGCAAAUGCUAGAGGCUCAGAGGAACAUGAUGGCUAAAAUGGCUCAGCUGUUGAGAGCCACUGAUAAGAAAAGCUCCCAUGGCGAUCACUGAAGAAGAGAAUGAGGGUUCUCCUCCGGGUUUUACUCCGCCUCAUGUGCCACUGCAAACCGAAGCACCUCCUAGAAAGCCAUUUGUUACAGUGAGGCAUCAGCAUGAGCCAGUUGAUGCUAGAAUCCCCGUAAAUUUCCCAUCUGGGUUGGGAAAUAAUUUGGGUGAUAGCUCGGUCAACCCUAUCACUCUUGAUCUGGAUUUGAUGGAGAAGGAAAGAAUGGCAACUGAAUCCGCAAAACAAUUGGAAGAUCGUUGCAGGUGGUUAGAGGAGAAGUUUAGGGUUUUGAAAGGCGCUGGCAAUCAUCAUAGGAUUGAUGCAAAAGACCUAAGUUUGGUCCCAGAUUUGGUGCUUCCUCAUAAAUUUAAGAUGCCAAAGUUUGAAAAGUACAACGGAACUACUUGCCUAGAGGCACACAUAACAAUAUUCUGUAGGAGAAUGACUGAAUAUGUGAACAAUGAUCAAUUAUUGAUCCAUUAUUUUCAGGACAGCCUGGUAGGAGCAGCGGCUAGAUGGUACAAUCAAUUGAGCCGUGCAAGAAUUGGUUCAUAGAGAGAUCUGGCACAGGCUUUCAUGCAACAAUACAACCACGUGACUGAUAUGACGCUAGAUAGGAUCACACUUCAAAACAUGGAGAAAAACCCUAAUGAAAAUUUUAGGCAAUAUGCACAACAAUAGAGGGAGGUGGCAAUGCAAGUACAACCACCAUUAUUGGAAAAUGAGACCACCAUGUUAUUUAUUAAUACUUUGAAGGCGCCAUUCUCACACAUAUGAUUGGAAGUACCACGAAAAGUUUCGCGGAUAUAGUUAUGGCGGGUGAGAUGAUUGAGAAUGCCGUGAGGGGCGGUAAAAUCAAGGUGAAUAACAUGAACAGUUUCAACUCCAGGACAGUCACAGUUGGACAACCUAAAGCAGCUACGGGUGAGCAACAAAGUACUCAAAGACAGGAAUUGGGUACAAGACAAAAUUCGGAGAGGAUGCAAUUCACUCUAUCCCUGUGACAUAUCGUGAGCUUUACCAAAGCUUAUACGAUGCACAUGCCAUUGCUCCAUUUCACUUGAAACCGCUGCAGCCACUGUACCCUAAAUGGUAUGAUGCAAAUGCUAAAUGCGAAUAUCACGCGGGAAUAUCGGGGCAUUCAAUUGAAAACUGCACUGGGUUCAAGUAGGUCGUGGAGAGACUCAUCAAAAUGGGGAUUGUAAAAUUUGAUAGUACCCCUAAUACUAAAAACCCGUUACCAGAUCAUGGCAAUGAAAGAGUGAAUGCCAUUGAGGAAACAAAGAAAGGAAAAGUCAAGGAAGAUAUUGUUGAGGUGAAGACACCUAUGAAAGUAAUAUGGGAGGAGACGGUGAAGAGAGGUAUGUUGACCUCUAGAAAAGGAAGAGAAGGAAUAGAGAACCAUUAUGAAUUCCAUGGAGAGGUGGGUCAUAUGAUCCAAAAUUGUGAAGAGUUCAAGGCCAUGGUACAAGGCCUUAUGGUUAACAAAGAACUACAGGUUUCUGAGGGUAGUUCUUGUGAAGGACAAAUAUGUGUGCUGGAGAAUGAACGACAAAGAACCAGCCAACCAAGAAUUAUUAUUUCCUUGCUAGGGAAUAAUGAGGCGGGGUUGCAAACUGGGCCCAAAAUAGUUAUCCAUAAACCCAAUCCUUUCCCUUACAAGGAUGACUAGGAGGGUGCCAUGGAGCUAUGACUACAAUAUAGCAAUACCUAAGGGGAAGAGUAUAGCUAGCGCGGCCAGGGGCACGCAAAAUGAAGGUUCCCAUACACGAAAUGGGAAACGUUAUGAUGGGGGGAACAUCAGAAUGGAGCCCGCAAAGACGAAAGAUGUCAAGGUUGAAAGGGAGAACGAGACUGAAGUACCCAUCAAUGAGCCGGUAAAGGAGGAAGAAGCUAGGGAGUUUCUAAAGUUCCUAAAACAUAGCGAGUAUAGCAUGGUCGAGCAGUUGCGCAAACAGCCAGCACGUAUAUCAAUGUUAGCCCUACUCUUGAGUUCUGAGAUGCAUCGGGAUGCGUUGUUAAAGGUGCUUAAUGAAACAUAUGUCACCCACGACAUAUCCGUUAACAAGCUGGACCGGUUAGUAAACAACAUCAGUGCUGACAAUUUCAUCUAUUUUAAUGAUGAUGAAAUUCCACCUGGAGGCAUCGGGUCAACCAAAGCCCUGCACAUCACUACUCGGUGUAAAGGAUACACACUUUCAAGUGUACUCAUUGAUAAUGGGUUUGCUUUGAACGUCCUCCCAUUAUCCACAUUAAAUAGAUUACCCAUUGAUAGUUCACACAUGAAAGCAUGUCACUAUGUGGUAAGAGCUUUUGAUGGAGCUGAAAGGAAAGUAAUGGGACGAAUUGACAUCCCUCUGGAGAUUGGGCCAAAUACGUAUGAAGUUGAUUUCCUGGUGAUGGAUAUCAAACCCUUCUAUAAUUGUUUGUUGGGGAGACCAUGGAUACACUCGGCAGGAGCGGUGCCCUCCUCACUACACCAAAAAUUGAAGUUAGUGACAGAUGGACGCUUAAUAACCAUCAAUGCGGAAGAGGACAUCAUAGCGGCAGUCACCAGCAAGGCCCCUUGUAACGCCCCAAUUUUCUGGAAUUCUGUGAAUGUUGGCAUAGGUUUAAUUAUGUUAGUGGGCCUCUAGAAGGCCCAAGCUUAAGAUAGAACCCGGUAAUUUUAGUUAAUUUUUGUUCCAUAAGAAAAAGGGAGUGAAAUUAUGAAAUAGGACCUAUGUGAGUGAAAUUAUGAAAUAGGACCUAUGUGAAAAUGUUUGAAAAUGCUAUAGGCUAAUUUGUAGUGGCCAAAUAAAUAGGAGUGCAAAAUAGGAGGAUUUGCAUGACAAACCUCCCAUUUUACAUGAAGUGGCCAGCCAUCAUGUUGUUGUAGACAAUAUGAGCACUUGAUAUCCAUAAUUCAUGGUACAAAUUGAUAAUGGGUUAGGUAAAUGUUCCAUGAUAAUGGUUUAGGUAAAUGUUCCAUGAUGGGCAUUUCAUGUCUUUUGUAUUAAAGAAUUAAAUGGAUGAAAUAUGAAAUUUUAUUAAAAGAAAAAUGGGUGAAAAGAACAAAGUUUUGUCCAUCUUUGUUCAUCAUAGCCUAAAGUUAGAGAAGAGAAAGGAGAGGAGAAAGCUCUUGAAUGUUCGGUCACUUGGGGAAGAAAAUUGAAGGUAAGUUCAUGGUAGUUUGCUUCUAUCUUGAUGUUCAUGAGUUCUUCUUGAUUCUACCUUAACUCUUGAAGCAUAUUUUGGUUUUUAGUUGUGUUGUGAGCAUUUAGUCAUGAAUUAAAAUGAAGGAAAUGGUUGUUGUUUCAUGUUCUUUUGAUGAAAAAUGGAAGAUAGGUGAAGCUGAGCCAAACAAAUGAGCAUGCAUGUGCCUUAGAUGCUAAGGGGAAAAAUCGUUAACAUGUUGUGCUUUAAAAUGAUGAAAUGGAGAUUAUACUUAAGUAAAAUCAUAGAUAUGUGAUGAUUGAUUGGUGAUAUACAUGUUUAAAUAACAAGCAUGCAAGUUAGGUGUGAAAGAGUGAUUUGGUAAUAAAUCUGCUUGGGACAGCAGCAGUAACGUGAAUUUGGAAAAUCACCAUAAAUUGUGGGAGAUGAGUUAAAAGCUGCAUAAAUUAUAUAAUUAAAUCUAAAUGAGUCUAGUUUCAAAUGGAAUAAACGAGAACAUAUUUUGAAUUCUGUACAAUGAGAAAUUUGAUUCGUAAUGAGGAGUGGUUAGAUUAGUCAAACAAUGAAACAUGAGAAACUUUAAGAAAAAUCUGGUAUUGAUUGGCCAUACCAAAAAUUCUGAAAAUUUUAUGGAUAGAAGAUAUAUGAGUCUAUUUUCAGGAAAAAUUAACGGCACUUGAUUUGGAGUUUCGUAGCUCCAGUUAUAAAUAAUUUAGUGACUGUUGCUCAGGAAGACAACUUGCAGUGAAAUUAUGAUUAUGUGGUAAACAUUGACAAAAAUUUGUUAAUGAGUUGCUUAUUGAUUUCUUAUAAGCUUACUAUGAUCUGUAGGUGUGGUUGGCCGAAUAUUGUAAGGGGUUAAUACGUAGUUUGUAUUUGAUUAGUUACAUUAACGUGUUAGUAAUCCAAUUGUAGGCGGUUCGUGUGUGAAUCUCGUCAGCAUAUCGUCGCAAACAGGUGUGUAACUGACACCCUCUCAUAGACUAGAUUGGCAAAAGCCGAAAAGCCGAAAUGCCGAAAAGUCAGUAUUUUGGGAAUUUGCGAGUGUGCGAAUGCUCGUAAGAUAGUUGGGUUUGUAUAUUUGGCAAUUUAAAGUAAUAAACUACAGUACGCGCGAUUUCGUACAUUUUGAUAAUUUGGGCUUAAAGGGCCAAAGAUCGAGUUCAUGGGCCAACAGGCCCAAAUCGGUAAGUAUGCGCGGUAAGUGUUCUGAUAGUACGUAAAUAGUUAGGAUAUGCAUGAAAACCCUAAAAGCAGCUAAAUUACUAUAAUACCCCUAUGUAUGGAAAAUUACUGUUAUACCCCUAGGUGCAAAAUUACCGUUAUACCUAGGGUUAAUUUUGACUGAAAAGCAUGACGAUCUGAUUCUGUAUGAUGUAUGCCAUGAUUAUAUAUCUGUUGCAUGGGGACAUGGGUUAUAUUAUGGAGGAAGCAUCCCGGUGGCUAUGCCACAAUUAUCUGAUCUGGUGGCUCUGCCACAUAUAUCUGUUCUAGUGGUUAUGCCACGAUUAUCUGAUCUGGUGGCUCUGCCACAUAUAUCUGUUCUGGUGGCUCUUCCACAAUAUCUGUAUCUGGUGACUUCGUCACAAUAUCUGGCAGCCUCGCUGCGAUUUCUGUGGUGUGUAGCAGUUGGGUGGGUCGAGUAGUCUCCCCACAUGGUGUAAGGCUGGUACGGGGGUGUUAUGGAUGAAUCUGGGUUGGGAUUUGUGUAUUCAUGUAAUAUCUGUUCUGAUCUGUUAUGGGCCUAUGGGCUUUAUUCUGAAUUUCUAUUUUGGGCUAAGGCCAACUUAUUCUGUUUGUUUGGUUUGAGCUGAUAUAGGCUAUGGUUGGGUUAAUUUACACACUGAGUUUCCCCAAACUCACCCCUUUUAUUUCCAUCCACGCAGGUAAUCCCCAACCAUAGUGGGCUUGGAGCUGUGAGGGAAUUCGGAGUGGCCACCCGUUCUGAAAGUUUGAUUUUCUUCUGGUGAACUGGAUAUCCUUUUAUUUACGUUUGAGGUUUUGGGUUUUUUUUAAAUGUAAUAAGGCCGUUUAAUUAUUCUUGAUGGUUUUAAUAUGUGUUACUAAGAUAAGUAUUACUUAUUUUAACUGUUGAAGUUGGAAAGAUUUAGGGCGCGUUUUCAAAAACAACAAUUGAUUUCAAAAUACCACGAUAACAAGCAAAGCUUCCGCAAUGAAAGUAUUUUCCAAAAUUAAUCACUUUUCCUAAAAAGGACUUAAUCAAAUCGGUUUCCUAGAAAUAUACAUGACGUUAAGGUGUGGCAAUGGCGGUAUGCAUGUCUAGGAUUGGAUCCGAAUGGAGCUUGGUACUUAAGCAGUCCGAUAGACUCACCUCCUCUUUUCCGAUUUCCUACCUGGUGCACAGCUUCCAUUCACUUUAACCUAUAAUAAAAUUAUCUUUUAAAACACUAAGUAAGUUUUUCUGGAUCAACAAUAUAAAAUGUUUUGAACGCUUCGAUGUGGCAUGUCGAUCUGGCCAUAACGUCUGGGCCGGGUUUGGGGUGUUACAUUUAGUGGUAUCAGAGCCUAGGUUGCAACAACUCGACUGUGGAAUGGGUUUACAAAAACAAAGAUUUUCGAAAGCGAAAAUUUUAUAAAGAAUGCGAAAAACUCGAUUUUCAAAAUUUAGAUCUUUAGAAGGUGGCAUUCCGAAUCUCCGGCUCAAGUCUGUAAGUAUUCUGAAUUUUUUUGAUUAUUUUCCUGAAUUAUCUGUCUGUACUGAAACCCUAUUAGGAUACUCUAGAUAGGAUGAUACUGAAACCAUAGGAAAAUCUGAUAAGAGACUGAAACUGUAGCUAGACUUUAAUUCUGCGAAAACAAACUCUGAACUACUGUCUGAUUCAUAAAACAUCUGCAAUAAACACUGGAAUAUUAAUUGAUGCAUAAAAAUUCGUAAUCAAGAUAAUACGAUAUGAGUACAAGAGGCCGUGGACAGAGCCGAGGAAGUGCUCAAGCGAGAUCUUCGUCUUCGAGACAUAUGCCGGCGGUGGAUGCACCGGUACCAUCGACAACGGAAGUGGAGUCUCAUGAUCGUGGUGCCGGGGAUGACGCUCUGUCACAGGCAAUGCUUCGUGUUCUGGACAGGGUUGCCGGGACAAGUUCGGGCAACGAAAUUCAAGGAUCAAUUUCUGAACGACUCCGGGCCAACGGAGCGGAGAUCUUUAAGGGUGUGUCUGGUAUCGCCUCGAAUGUGGCAUAAUAUUGAUUGGAGGCUAUAGAACGGAUUAUAGACAACUUGGACUACUCUGAGGAGAUUGUGAGUGGGGUAUCUGUACUAAGUCCUUUAGGUCACUCGGUUAGGGUAGACAAACUGUAUAGGGAUAUACCCUUACAAACUCAAGGUAGGUUUUUCCCUGGAGAUCUGAUGGAGUUACCAUUCGGAGAGUUUGACCUCAUUUUGGGAAUAAACUGGCUUGUUAAGCAUAAGGUGGCCCUGGAUUGUGCUGCUAAACGAAUGGUGUUAAGGACCACAAAGGAUGAGGAGGUUAUAGUGAUAGGUGAGAGAAGGGAUUAUUUGUCCAAUGUGGUGUCGGCUUUAAGAGCUGAAAAGUGGAUUCGGAAAGGUUGUGAGGCCUAUUUGGCAUUUGUAAGUUAGUCAGAAGAGGAGGGAUUGACAGUGGAUAAGGUUAGGACCGUAAAGGAGUUCCAAGAUAUUUUUCCGGAGGAGCUUCCAAGAUUGCCUCCGAACCGAGAAGUUGAGUUUGGAAUAGAUUUUUUGCCUGGAACAGCGCCCGUGUCCAUCGCACCGUAUAGGAUGGCACCGAAGGAGUUAGUGGAGUUAAAGGCUCAAGUUCAAGAGUUGUUGGAUAGGGGCUUCAUUAGGCCAAGCAUGUCUCCAUGGGGAGCACCGGAGCUAUUUGUGAAGAAGAAGGAUGGUACAAUGCGGAUGUGCAUUGAUUAUCGCCAGUUUAACAAACUAACAAUUAAGAAUAAGUAUCCACUGCCAAGGAUUGAUGAUCUAUUCGACCAGCUUAGAAGAGCUUUUGUAUUUUCCACGAUCGACCUCCGAUCGGUCAAAGAGGUGGAUAUCCAUAAGACGACAUUCAAGACUCGGUAUGGUCAUUACAAGUUUUUGGUUAUGCCAUUUGGACUGACGAACGCUCCUGCAGCAUUUAUAGAUCUGAUGAAUCGGGUGUUCCAACCAUUCUUGGAUCGAUUCGUAGUCGUCUUCAUUGAUGAUAUCCUGGUAGAUUCUGAAACUGAAGCGAAACAUGAUGAGCAUCUCCGUAUAAUGCUGCGAGUGUUAAAAGAGAAGGAACUCUUUGUGAAGUUCAGCAAGUGUGAAUUUUGGUUGAGAGAGGUAACCUUCUUAGGACAUGUGGUCUCUGCCGAAGGGAUUAAGGUGGACCCUCGAAAGAUUGAAUCAAUUUUGGAGUGGAAGCCACCUAGGACGGUGUCGAAAAUUCAAAGUUUCCUAGGGUUGGCAGGAUACUACAGAAGGUUUGUGGAAGGUUUUUCUGUUAUGGCAGCACCCCUAACAAAACUCAUAAGGAAAGGAGAACCGUUUGUAUAUACUGAGAAGCAGCAGUGAGCUUUUGAGAAGUUGAAGAAAGUUCUGACUGAAGCACCUGUGUUAAUUCAGCCGGAGUCUGGGAAAGAUUUUAGUGUGUACAGUGACGCAUCACACGUGGGUUUGGGCUGCGUGUUAAUGCAAGAGGGUAAGGUGGUUGCAUAUGCAUCACAACAGCUUAAGCCUCAUGAGGGGAACUAUCCGACUCAUGAUUUAGAGUUGGCAGCAGUGAUAUUUGCACUUAAGAUUUGGAGACAUUACUUGUACGGAGAAAGGUGUAUUAUAUACACUGACCAUAAGAGUCUUAAGUAUUUGUUGACUCAGAAGGAGCUGAACCUUAGGCAAAGGAGAUGGAUUAAGUUACUUAAGGAUUAUGACUGUUCGAUCGAGUAUCACCCAGGCAAGGCUAAUAUGGUAGCCGAUGCUCUAAGUCGUAGAGCUGUAUCUGAUCUAAGAGCAAUGUUUGCUUGUCUGAGCCUGUAUGAUGAUGGAAGUUUGUUGGCUGAGUUGCAAGUGAGGCCAACCUGGGUGGAUCAGAUUAAGGAAAAGUAGUUAAACGAUGAGUCUUUGGUUGCUCGUUUUCAACAAGUUAAGGAAGGGGAAACUUCUGAGUUUGGAUUAAAUGGCGAAGGAGUUCUGUGUUUCCGAGGAAGAAUUUGUGUUCUGAAGGGCUCUGAUUUGAGGCAGACAAUAUUGAAACAUGGGAAACUUUAAGAAAAAUCUGGUAUUGAUUGGCCAUACCAAAAAUUCUGAAAAUUUUAUGGAUAGAAGAUAUAUGAGUCUAUUUUCAGGGAAAAUUAACGGCACUUGAUUUGGAGUUUCGUAGCUCCAGUUAUAAAUAAUUUAGUGACUGUUGCUCAGGAAGACAGCUUGCAGUGAAAUUAUGAUUAUGUGGUAAACAUUGACAAAAAUUUGUUAAUGAGUUGCUUAUUGAUUUCUUAUAAGCUUACUAUGAUCUGUAGGUGUGGUUGGCAGAAUAUUGUAAGGGGUUAAUACGUAGUUUGUAUUUGAAUAGUUAGAUUAGCGUGUUAGUAAUCCAAUUGUAGGCGGUUCGUGUGUGGAUCUUGUCAGCAUAUCGUCGCAAACAGGUGUGCAACUGACACCCUCUCAUAGACUAGAUUGGCAAAAGCCGAAAAGUCGAAAUGCCGAAAAGUCGGUAUUUUGGGAAUUUGCGAGUGUGCGAAUGCUCGUAAGAUAGUUGGGUUUGUAUAUUUGGCAAUCUAAAGUAAUAAACUACAGUACGCGCGAUUUCGUACAUUUUGAUAAUUUGGGCUUAAUGGGCCAAAGAUCGGGUUCAUGGGCCAACAGGCCCAAAUCGGUAAGUAUGCGCGGUAAGUGUUCUGAUAGUACGUAAAUAGUUAGGAUAUGCAUGAAAACCCUAAAAGUAGCUAAAUUACUAUAAUACCCCUAUGUAUGGAAAAUUACUGUUAUACCCCUAGGUGCAAAAUUACCGUUAUACCCCUAGGGUUAAUUUUGACUGAAAAGCAUGACGAUCUGAUUCUGUAUGAUGUAUGCCAUGAUUAUAUAUCUGUUGCAUGGGGACAUGGGUUAUAUUAUGGAGGAAGCGUCCUGGUGGCUAUGCCACGAUUAUCUGAUCUGGUGGCUCUGCCACAUAUAUCUGUUCUGGUGGCUCUUCCACAAUAUCUGUAUCUGGUGACUUCGUCACAAUAUCUGGCAGCCUCACUGCGAUUUCUGUGGUGUGUAGCGGUUGGGUGGGUCGAGUAGUCUCCCUACAUGGUGUAAGGCUGGUACGGGGGUGUUAUGGAUGAAUCUGGGUUGGGAUUUGUGUAUUCAUGUAAUAUCUGUUCUGAUCUGUUAUGGGCCUAUGGGCUUUAUUCUGAAUUUCUAUUUUGGGCUAAGGCCAACUUAUUCUGUUUGUUUGGUUUGAGCUGAUAUAGGCUAUGGUUGGGUUAAUUUACACACUGAUUUUCCCCAAACUCACCCCUUUUAUUUCAAUCCACGUAGGUAAUCCCCAACCAUAGUGGGCUUGGAGCUGUGAGGGAAUUCGGAGUGGCCACCCGUUCUGAAAGUUUGAUUUUCUUCUGGUGAACUGGAUAUCCUUUUAUUUACGUUUGAGGUUUUGGGUUUUUUUUAAAUGUAAUAAGGCCGCUUAAUUAUUCUUGAUGGUUUUAAUAUGUGUUACUAAGAUAAGUAUUACUUAUUUUAACUGUUGAAGUUGGAAAAAUUUAGGGCACGUUUUCAGAAACAACAAUUGAUUUCAAAAUACCACGAUAACAAGGACUUAAUCAAAUCGGUUUCCUAGAAAUAUACAUGACGUUAAGGUGUGGCAAUGGCGGUAUGCAUGUCUAAGAUUGGAUUCGAAGGGAGCUUGGUACUUAAGCAGUCCGAUAGACUCACCUCCUCUUUUUCGAUUUCCUACCUGGUGCACAGCUUCCAUUCAGUUUAACCUAUAAUGAAAUUAUCUUUUAAAACACUAAGUAAGUUUUUUUGGAUCAACAAUAUAAAAUGUUUUGAACGCUUCGAUGUGGCAUGUCGGAUCUGGCCAUAACGUCUGGGCCGGGUUUGGGGUGUUACAUUUAGUGGCAUCAGAACCUAGGUUGCAACAACUCGACUGUGGAAUGGGUUUACAAAAACAAAGAUUCUCGAAAACAAAAAUUUUAUAAAGAAUGCGAAAAACUCGACUUUCAAAAUUUAGAUUUUUAGAAGGUGGCAUUCCGAAUCUCCGGCUCAAGUCUGUAAGUAUUCUGAAUUUUUCUAAAUAUUUUCCUGAAUUAUCUGUCUGUACUGAAACCCUAUUAGGAUACUCUAGAUAGGAUGAUACUGAAACCAUAGGAAAAUCUGGUAAGAGACUGAAACUGUAGCUAGACUUUGAUUCUGCGAAAACAAACUCUGAACUGCUGUCUGAUUCAUAAAACAUCUGUAAUAAACACUGGAAUAUUAAUUGAUGCAUAAAAAUUCGUAAUCAAGAUAAUACGAUAUGAGUACAAGAGGCCGUGGACGGAGUCGAGGAAGUGCUCCAGCGAGAUCUUCGUCUUCGAGACAUAUGCCGGCGGUGGAUGCACUGGUACCAUCGGCAACGGAAGUGGAGUCUCAUGAUCGUGGUGUCGGGGAUGAUGCUCUGUCACAGGCAAUGCUUCGUGUUCUGGAAAGGGUUGCCGGGACAAGUUCGGGCAACGGAAUUCGAGGAUCGAUUUCUGAACGACUCCGGGCCAACGGAGCGGAGAUCUUUAGGGGUGUGUCUGGUAUCGCCUCGAAUGUGGGAUAAUAUUGAUUGGAGGCCACAGAACAGAUUAUGGACAACUUGGACUACUCUGAGGAGAUUGUGAGUAGGGUAUCUGUACUAAGUCCUUUGGGUCACUCGGUUAGGGUAGACAAACUGUAGUCUUUAGAAAUUUUUCAGAGUAAUUCUCGAAACAUGUUUGUUACUUUAGGGCCUAGGAGUAGUAAGAUUAUGUUUGUGGAAAGAGGUCUAUGUUCAUCUAUAAUUAUUUAAAUAAAACAUAACUUUUAUCAAUUUAAACGAGUAUUGUUUCAUUUUUAUCGACCAAUAUUCCUUUAAAUUCUGGAAAUUCUUAUUCUUUUAUUCAUAGCACAUAAACAAUCAUUCUUAGAUUCAUUCAUUCUUUGUAUAUCCUUUCAUACCACCACAGGUCCCUAGAUAUCAAUGAUAUGAGCGAUGAUACUGCAGCUCCUAAUUUCUCUAGCGAGCAAAACGUGUGUUUAGAGGAACUUUAGGAUUUUGAAGAUGUUCAAGAUUGUGACAUUUCUCUCGAUCUAUUAAGAAUGGUAAAGCAAGAGGAUAAACAAAUCAUGCCACAUGAGAAAAAGGCAAUAGAGAAUAUAACCCUAGAGGAAGGAAAGAGUUGAAAAUCGGAACCCUAAUUAGCGAGGACACAAGACAUGGUCUGGUUGAGUUGCUUUGAGAGUUCAAUGAUAUCUUCGCCUGGUCAUAUCAGGAUAUGCCCGGAUUGAGUACCGACAUUGUGGUACAUCGACUUCCGAUAAGACAGGAUUGUAAGCCAGUCUAACAGAAGUUGCAAAGAAUGAGGCCAGAUAUCGUUUUGAAAAUAAAGGAUGAAGUCAAGAAGCAGUUCGAUGCAGGAUUCUUGCAAGAAGUGAAGUACUCCGAAUGGGUAGCUAACAUUGUGCCUAUUCCUAAGAAGGAUGGAAAGGUACGAAUGUGUGUUGAUUACAGAGAUCUGAACAAAGCAAGCCCAAAGGAUAAUUUUCCUUUACCACACAUUGACACUUUAGUAGACAACACAGCGGGAUAUUCGUUGUUCUCCUUUAUGGAUGGUUUCUCAGGAUACAAUCAGAUAAGGAUGCAUCCGGAGGACAUGGAUAAAACCAUAUUCAUAACCUUGUGGGGCACCUUUUGCUACAAAGUAAUGCCAUUUGGACUAAAAAACGUAGGGGCAACAUACCAACGGGCCAUGGUGAACUUGUUUCACGACAUGAUGCAUAAGGAUAUUGAGGUAUAUGUUGAUGAUAUGAUUGCCAAGUCGCGCACAGAAAAAGAGCACAUUGAGGUCUUGAGAAGAUUGUUCUUGAGGUUGAGAAAAUUUCAGUUGAAGCUCAAUCCAGCAAAGUGUACUUUUGGAUCCAGAUUAGGAAAGUUAUUAGGCUUCGUAGUCAGUGAAAAAGGAAUUGAAGUCGACUCAGACAAGGUCAGAGCCAUACGAGAGUUACCUCUGCCACGUACUCAGAAGGAAGUUCGAGGAUUCCUAGGAAGAUUGAAUUACAUUGCUCGGUUCAUUUCACAACAAACCGAGAAAUGUGAUCCUAUCUUUCGCCUUCUCAGAAAGCACAAUCAAGGUACUUGGGAUGAGGAAUGCCAGAAUGCUUUUGAAGAGGUCAAGCGGUAUUUGUUGAAUGCUCCGUUAUUCUCUCCACCUAGCCCAGAUAAACCAUUAAUACUGUACUUGUCAGUGUUCAGUAAUUCUAUGGGAUGUGUGCUUGGCCAGCAUGACGAAUUAGGGAAAAAGGAGAAGGCAAUUUAUUAUCUCAGUAAGAAGUUCACUGACUGUGAGAUGAGAUAUUCACCAAUUGAAAAGUUGUGUCGUGCGCUGAUUUGGACAACUCGAAGAUUAAGACAGUACAUGCUAUACCAUACCACUUGGCUCAUCUCAAAACUUGAUCCGUUGAAAUACAUGAUGGAGUCAACGGCUCUAAAUGGGAGAACGGCGAGAUGGAAAAUUUUGCUUUCGGAGUUUGAUAUAGUCUACAUAAGUCAGAAGGCUAUAAAAGGAAGUGUGGUAGCAGACUUCUUGGCUAGUAGGGCUCUAGAGGAUUAUGAGCCAUUGAACUUCGAUUUUCCAAAUGAGGAGUUGAUGUGUAUAGCAAUGACUGAAAAUUCUUCUUGGAAGCUCAAUUUUGAUGGGGCUCUAAUGUAGUCAGAAAUAGAAUUGGGGCAGUCUUGGUAUCUCCGAAUGGCGAUCAUUAUCCUUUUACGUGCAAGUUGGACUUUGAUUGCACGAACAAUAUGGCUGAAUAUGAAGCAUGCAUCAUGGGACUUCAAGUAGCUAUAGAGCGAGGUAUAAAAACCUUAGAAGUAUAUGGAGAUUCGGCAUUGGUUGUUUAUCAGCUUAGAGGUGAAUGGGAGACAAGGGACCCUAAAUUGAUUAGUUAUCAAAAUGUGGUUUUGGGGUUGCUUGAGGAAUUUGAUAGCAUCACCUUCAAUUAUCUCCCACGAGACGAAAAUCAGAUGGCAGAUGCUUUAGCAACCUUGGCCUCAAUGAUCAAGGCGAAUAAAGAAGAAGAAAUAAAGCCAAUUCAAAUGAGAGUUUACGAGGCUCCAGCUUAUUAUUGUAACAUUGAGAAGGAAGGAAAUGACAAUAACCCCUAGUAUCAAGAUAUAUUGCGAUAUGUGAGAGAUCGUAAAUGCCCUGAACAGGCCAGUGAAAAUGAUAAAUGAACUUUGAGGAGGUUAGCUUGCGACUAUGUUUUAGAUGGAGAUAUCCUGUACAAGAGACGGAAAGAUCAAGUACUUUUGAGAUGUGUCGAUGCUGUGGAAGCUAAGCUAAUUUUAGAAGAAGUUCAUGAAGGUGUAUGCGGGACGCAUGCAAAUGGGUUCACGAUGGCAAGGCAAAUCAUGAGGUUUGGCUAUUAUUGGGCCACCAUGGAAGGGGACUGUAUUAACUAUACCAAGAAAUGCCAUAAGUGUCAGAUUUAUGGAGACAAAAUUCAUAUACCACAUUCACCUUUACAUGUUAUGACUUCUCCAUGGCCCUUCUCCAUGUGGGGCAUGGAUGUUAUCAGACCAAUAUCACUAAAAGCUUCGAAUGGACAUCGGUUUAUCUUCGUGGUAAUUGACUACUUUACAAAAUGGGUAGAGGCCGCCUCUUAUACUAAUGUUACUAAGUCAGCAGUGAGUCGAUUCUUAAAGAAAGAGAUCAUUUGUCGGUAUGGAAUGCCUGAGAAGAUCAUAUCUGACAAUGCAUUGAAUUUGAAUAACAAAGCGAUAGCGGAGGUUUGUGACCAAUUCAAAAUCAAGCAUCAUAAUUCUUCCCCUUAUCGUCCAAAAAUGAAUGGGGCAGUAGAGGCUACCAACAAGAACAUUAAGAAAAUAGUGGGGAAGAUGGCUGAGACCUAUAGAGAUUGGCAUGAGAAGUUACCGUUUGCACUCCUGGCUUAUCGAACAUCUGUUAGAACCUCUACUGGGGCAACCCCAUUCUCGUUAGUUUAUGGGAUGGAAGCAGUGUUACCUAUUGAAGUAGAAAUACCUUCUCUUCGAGUUUUGACAGAGAUAAGGUUAUAUGAGGCUGAGUGGGUUCAAUCCCGGUAUGACCAGUUGAACUUGAUUGAGGAAAAGAGGCUAAAAGCCAUUCGACAUGGUCAGAUGUAUCAGAAGCGAAUGAUGCGAGCUUAUGACAAGAAAGUUUGACCAAGAGAAUUCCAUGAGGGAGACCUUGUACUGAAAAAGAUCCUUCCUAUUCAAAAGGAUUUUAGAGGAAAAUGGAUGCCGAAUUGGGAAGGGUCGUAUGUCAUGAAAAAAGCUUUCUCCGGUGGUGCAUUGAUCUUAGUGAAAAUGGAUAGGAAAAGUUUACCCAAUCCAGUGAACUCGGACUCAGUUAAAAAAUACUUUGUCUAAAGAAGAAGAGAAUCUAAGGUGAAAACUCGUAAAGGGCGCCUUGAGAUUUAAAAAAAAAAAACAGAGAGGCCAAGGUGAAAACCCGCAUAGGGCACCUUGUGACCAAAGGGGUUUUGAGUUGAAAACCCGAAAGGGCAGCUCAAAUUUUGAAGAGUACACAAUGAUCUUGCUACAAUGAGUGAAGAAUGCUGCAAACUGGGGCAUCAACAGAGUACUUAGGAUCUUUUAAACAUAUGUUGAACUCAAGAAAGACUUCAUGGAGCUGGUGUAUAGGCACUCAAGCGGCGAUAUCUAGAGGAUCUAACUUUUAUCUUGUUUGCUAUCUUUAGACUCUAUUUCUUCUAGAAGAUAGAUUAGCAGAUUAAUUCCCUUUUGUAUCUUUUUGAUAAUUUAUUCAAAUCUAAUUAUUCUUAAAAAUUUAUUCAUCUUUCACUAUUCUUUAAGUAUGUUGCAUUGAAAUAAUGAUAGAUGAACUAAAUAUGUUCACAAAUGAAGUUUUGCGCAUUACUCUGAAAUUUCUAGAUAACACAAGAAACUAAAACAGGACAAUUGUUCGAGAAAUUCAUGUAAGUAAGGGAUGAAAGAACUCGAGGAAUUCCUUUCUUCCAGUCCAAAAGGAAAAUAGACAAAGCCAAUAAUUCAGUUCUUACAGACAUCCUCAAUGGAUCGUAGCAUUGGAGGACGGCUUACAGGCUGAGCAUGAAUGAAACUUUGAGAAAAGAAAAGACAAAUGAAGGAAUGAAUGAUGACGUCUAGGAUAGGGGUCAUAUUCAUGACAUUUUUCAUCAUAACAUGUUUAAUUAGGAAAAUUCGACUCACUUCGAGCAUGGCAUCCUAAAUUAUCAAGCAUAAUCAUUUUACAGGUUAUCGGAGACAACGCGCUUUAAAACCCAAAACAGUAGGGAAACAGGCCGCAGCAUAGCAGAUCUGACCUUCAUCAGGGCAGAUCCAAGAUGACAGAUCUUAUCUCUCUGUAUUCGGCGGGGAGCAGAUCGAAGAUAUAGCUGAUUUGGCUUUCACGUGUUUACGAUGAAGCAAAUCUAAGAUGAUUUGUCGUCUCUGUAUUGUUAGAGAACAAAUCAAAGUUUGGCAUUUCCACUUUGAUAUAAGGCAAACACAUAGCAGAUCUUACCUUUAGAUGUUUACGCUGAAGCAGAUCCAAGAUUACAGUUCUUAUCUCUCUGUAUUCGGUGGGGAGCAGAUCGAAGAUAUAGCUGAUUUGGCUUUCACGUGUUUACGAUGAAGCAAAUCUAAGAUGAUUUGUCAUCUCUGUAUUGUCAGAGAACAAAUCGAAGUCUGGCAUCUCCACUUCAAUGGAGAACAGACACAUAGCAGUCUCACCUUCAGAUGUUUACACUGAAGCAGAUCCAAGAUGACAAAUCUUAUCUCUCUGUAUUCGGCGGGGAGCAGAUCAAAGACAUAGCUGAUUUGGCUUUCACGUGUUUACGAUGAAGCAAAUCUAAGAUGAUUUGUCAUCUCUUUAUUGUUAGAGAACAAAUCGAAGUCUGGCAUCUCCACUUCAAUGGAGAGCAGAUACACAGCAGAUCUGACCUUCAGACGAUUAGACUGAAGCAAGAUCUAAGAUGAUUUCGCAUCCUUGUGCUUACAAGGACAAAUCAAAGACAUAGCUGAUUUGGCUUUCACGUGCUUACGAUGAAGCAAAUCUAAGAUAAUUUGGCAUCUCUGUAUUAUCAGAGAACAAAUCGAAGAAGCAGAUUUGGCGUUCUUAUGAUCGAAGAUAUCGACAUGACAGUCAAGGCCGGGACCAUCACCGCCAUCAUCGAAGCCUUCAUCACCGCCACCAUCAACGCGCAAGACACGCCAGAAUCUGGCAUUGGCUCCAUUAGUGUGCAAACAUCAGUGAUUGAGCAAGAUUCUCGUGGGUUACCUGAGAACAAAAGGGAAACUAAAAUAAAGAGAUUUCAGCAGAUCACAAUCAAAGAUAUGAUACAGCGAUAAGAAAUGGAAAGAAAUCUUUGAUUUCUUUCCAGUUUAUGUAAAUCACAGUAAUGGCUACAAAAGCCUGAAUCAAACAUUGUAAAAGGACUUUUCUUACGAAAUAGAAAUAUAUAUUCACACAUAUUCAUUCAAAAAUAUCAACAGUCUCUCAAAAGGUGAUUUACAUCGCAUAUCUUGUGCUUAUAUUUUGAAUAUAUAUGAACUAUUCUAACCUGCAUGAGUAAGGAUCUAAGGGAAGAGAGAUUACCCGUGGAAGGACGAAGGUUUUUAAGCCUUCAGACCACCGUGUACGACGGCGCGUGAGGCGCGUGUGCAAACACUGCACCGUGGCCGGAGGUCGGAGCUGGGACCUCUCUCUUCCCCUCUGUAGAGUUUUUUUUUUGUUUUUUUUAAAGACCAGUGUUAAAAUGAUCUUUAAGCUGCAAAGUUGGCUUAUAUAGCCUCUUCGAAACGACAUCGUUUCUGCUUAACUCAAUAAGCUUAAAACGGUGUCAUAUUAAGCCAUAGGAUCCGCGCGUUGACCCGAUUACCCGGGGAGGAUCCGCGUGUUUUUAGAAUUAGGUUAAUUACCCAAUCGGUCCUUUCACCUCUUUUAAUUUAUAAUUACGUAUUAUUUGAUUUUUUAAUUUGACCCUAAUAUUUUACAAUUGUUUCAAUUUAGUCUCGACAGUUGUUAAAUUACAUUCUGGGAAACGUUGCCGUUUUAAGGAAUAGGGCAAUUUGCCCAAUGAGUCCCUCUUGUUUUACGCGCGUUUUAAUUAGGCCCUUAAUUCACUGUUAUUUCUUUUAAAUUUGCCCUCAGAUUUUAUUGAACUUCAAAUUUAACCCUAUAUAUUUAUUAUAUUGUUAUUUGUUUUAUUUUUAACCUUAUUUUUAUAUUAUAUAUUAUAAAACUAUUUUAUUAUAUAUUAUUUAUAUUAUUAUUAUUUAUUAUAUAUUAUUUUUCACAAGUUAUUAUUAUUUUACAUCAUUAUUUAUAUAUUAUUAUAUUAUAUGUUUAUUAUAUAUUUAUAUUAUUUUUAUAUAUAUGCUUUUAUAUUAUAUAUUAUAAUUAUUUUAUAUAUUAUUAAGUCAUUUUUAUAUUAUUAUACAUUUUUAUCUAUAUAUUAUUAUCAUUAAAGGUUUUAAACUUGUAUUAUAUAUUUAUCUUUAUUUAUAUUCUAUUAUUACACAUUUUGAAGAUAUUAUAAUAUUAUAAUACAUAGAUUUCAUCAUUAAUUAUUCAUUUUAAACUUAUAUUUAUAUAUAUUAUAUAAUUAUUUCAUUAUAAAUAUAAAUUCUUUUGCAUAUUUUAUAUUCUAUACAUUAUUUUACUAAACCAAUAUCUUUUGUAUUUUUUAUGUAAUUAUUAUGCUUAUAAAUACAUUUUUAUUAUAUAUUAUAUUUUAAAAUUAUUAUUAAAUAUCACAUUUUUAUUAUUUUUUUAUAUUAUACAUAUAUUUUUUUAAAACUUAUUAUUAUUAUUAUACAAUAUUUAUUUUUACUUUAGUAUUAAUGUAUUAUUGUUAUGUUAUAUGUUAUAUCUUAGACUUUUAUAUUUUAUUUUUAAAUGAAUAUUUUUUAUAUAUGUACAUUGAUAUAUUGUAUAUCAUGCAUCAUUAAUAUGAUUAAAUAUAUGUUGAAUUAUAUGUUUAGGGAUUUUUACCUAUUUCUUCUUUAAUAUGUAUUCCGUUUUAUGUAUAUUUUUCUUAUUUAAAAAUUGUCAUGUUUUAUUUCUUAUAUAUGUUGAUUAGUGUAUGAUAUUUAUGCCGUUAUGCUCUUACUUUCCUAUCAUUGUAACAUGUUAUUUCGUAUGUUAUGUUAAUAUACUCCUUCAUGCAUCAAUUUUUUUAAAAAAAAAACGAGACUUCAAAUUUUUCAAAAAAAUAAAAAGGCAAUGAUCGGUAUUUGGAAGCUUCGAGAAAAGUAGUGCCCUAACUUAUUGGGUUGCGACUUUUCUCGUUGAGUUCGAAUAAUCAAGUACCCUUCUAAGUUUUAAAGGUUUUCCAAGUGCAAGCCACUAUCUUGGAAUUUCAAAGCAAUAUGUCCUAACUUAUUGGAUAUAGCGUUUUGUGGUUUCAAGAUAGGAAUUUCCAAAAAAGGUUAACUUAAUGUCAAUACUUUGAUACGAGUGAAUCCAAUUUUCAAAAUUAAAAUAUUUUAAAGUGGACUACAUCUUGAAAUUUUUGAAUUUCCGAAAUUAAAGACACUUGAUAAUCAAUUAGGUACCAAUUUUUGGGCGUUACGAGGGUGUUAACCCUUCCUCGAACGUAACCGACUCCCGAACCCGUUCUUUUAUUUCGCAGACCAAAACUAAUGAUUUUAAAACAAAAUGUUUUUAAGGUGAUCCGAUCGCACCUAAAAAGAUUGGUGGCGACUCCUGUUUUCGUUUUAAAGUCGAUUCCCAUUUUCCAAAACUCGAUUUAAAAAUGGUUUGCUCACCUAUAACAAUCAACCUACUGGUUUGGUGGUAAGGUUUUAGUAUUCCUUUAGAUCUCAAGUUCAAAUCUUGCUGUGUGCGAAAGUGGUAAUUAACCUAAACCCUCUUAAAGAGUGAGUCAAAUGCAAUCUCUAAAGUGAUAACAGAUAAAUUGUGAUAUUUUUUUAUUUUCUUUUUAAAUUGAGAAUUAUUUCUCAAAACUCUCUCUCUUGCCAUCCCACUUCCCCCUCAUUCUCCACUUUGUUUUGCACGUUGUUUUCUUUUGUUGUUAUAACGCCCUUUUGCCAAAUUUUCUUUGUUUUCUAUUCCUUCCCAUCUCUUCUGUCUUUCCCUUUUUCUUUAGUCUCCAUAAGCUCACAAUGAACACCGUAAUGUUCUUUUCUUUUGCCACCCUAUCUUCUGCAUUGGCGGUCAUCACAUCGUAUCGCACAUAACCAAUAGCCAUUGUAAUCUAUCGCUCCUGUGCGCCACCAACCGACAGCAGCAACAACCUUUCGCAAUAGCCCUAAACCCUAAACCCUAAUAGCCCUUUAGCGACCCGUGGCUGAUUCUCUCAACAUUCGAUAGCCCUUAUUUGCCACCCUUAUCCAUCCUCUACAUAGAUCAAGUAUAGGUCCUAACAUUUUGUAAUAUGUGUAUGUGUGUAUCUUAUUCAUAAGUGAAUCGUGUGAUUUGGUGAUGACUGGAUGCAUGAGUAAAUAAAUCUUGUUGGGUUGUAUAUGUGUGAAUCCUAACCCUAUGUGAUAUAUGAGUGUAUGAUAACAAUCAAAUGAUGUUGAGUUUGAAUUGAUAUCAUUCGAUUGUGACCUGUUUUUUCUUUUGGCGGAGGCCAAAUGUAAGUAUUUCCCCUAACUAUAAAAUUUGGUGUAAUCCGGUUGACUGUGGGUGUGUUUCAGUUAUGGCUGAAUACGGGUAAAUGAGUUAGGUAACAUGAUCGAAGGUGAGUAUGCCCUAAUUUGAGUUAGUCAAAUGCAUAUGAGGCCCUACUGUGUUGCUGAAAUGAUACUUGCUUGUUUUUGUGAUGGUCGAAUGUGCCAAUAGCAUGUUUUUGAUAUGUUAAACUAUAUGUGCAAUUAGUAUGUUCUGAUCAAUUUUAUCUGAAUAUGCCUAUAAUAGGCCCAUUUCGCCCGGGCCUAUACCAAAUCCAAAAUAGAAAAAUAAUAAAACCAAAAUAAUUUAAAAGUCAAGUCCAUUUACAUUUUCCAAUUAACCCAAAUAGCCCAGCACCCCAUGGCCCCAAACUAAACAGAAUUUUCAGCAGAAACCCUAAGGUUCCCUUGCGCCAAACAGGCUUCCAGCAGCUUCCAGCAUCGCUGCUGCCUCCGGCAAGUCCCACGUGCGCCAUCAGCCAGCUGGCUCCAUACCUGCAACAAAUGGAAAUCACAACAGCAAAUGACAAAUAAUAUAACAGAAUAAUAGCAAACAAAUGAAGGGGGAAAAGGGGAAAUUUGUAAAUUUUGAUUUUGGCUAUAUAAAGCCAAUUGUAUACUAUAAAUAGGGGAUUAUUAUUUUUUUUUUCACAGAAAUACAGAAGCAUAUUGAAAGAGAAAUAAAAAUCGAAAAGGUGAUUUCCAGUCUUAUUGUUUUCCUUUUUUUCUUUUUCUUUUUUUGCGUUUUUCUUCUUUAGGAUUACAUGAAAUUUUAAAACAAAAGAAAGAAGUGGAUUUACAUGAAAUUUUAAAAUAAAAAGAAGGGAUUUACCUUAGUAGUCAAUAACCGUCUUCUUCGUCGCAAUCGAAGCAGGGACGGGAUUUUGAAAUCGAAGCAAAUAGUCUUCGAGGUUUAACCCUCCAUGGCUCCUCUGUGCAUCUUGAGUCACUGAUCAAAACGAAGCAAGAACAUGCAAAUAAGGGGGCUAUGGGGAUCGGCCGAAGGGAGAAGAGUGAAUUAGAGUGCUUCUGUCUUCUCUCUUUUGUUAGUAUUUUAGGUUUUUUUGUUUUUUCCUUUUGUUUUUUAUGAAACAAACAAAAUGGCACCGUUUGAGAAAGGUAAAGGUUUGCGUGAAAACUUGAUUUAGAAGUUGGAUUUGUGCCUUUUUAUUUAAAUGGGUAAUUUUCAUGUUUGAUCCUUCCUCCUUGCACCGCGUUGUAAUCUGCUCCCAUUUGCAUUUGAUUUGCUUUAUUUUCUUUUAGAUUAUUCCCAAAAUUUGAAGUACUUUUAUGUUUUAGUCCGCAUCUCAACACAAUGUUUCAGGAUCAGGGAUUAUUUCAAUCUUGAUCCCUGUGAAUUCAUGUGUGUUAUAUAUGAGUCUCCAUUAGUAGUUUACUUAUUUUGUAAAUUAUCUUUUUAUUUUACUUUGAUUUCAAUUAAGUAUUUUAUUAGAUUUAUGUUAUAAAUUUGGGUUUAUUCACUCAUACAUUUUCAGUCCUUUUAUUAAUGUAUGUAUAUUCAUCAUUAUUUUAUUUUCAUUUUUGUUUUUUUAUUGUUUAUAUUAUUUGUAAUGUUAAUAUUAAUUGUAUUAUUUGUAUUGUUGGUUACUUAUUUGUUGUAAUUUGAAUAAUUGAAGUUCCCCAUGUUGCAUACUAUUUUAUGUAGUGUUUUAUGCGUUAUUAUACAUGUAUAUACCUCAUAAUAAUUGGUUUUAUUCCAUGAACAUUAUUAACAUUAAAUUAUUAUAUACGUUUAACUAUUUUUUUUUCACAUAUUUAUGUUAUAUAUGUAUAUGUUUUUUUCAAAAUGAAAUCGCAUGUUGUAUACAUUAAUUAAAUUUUAACUAUACAUAUACAAAAAUUAUUGGUAUAUAUAAUUUAAAUACAUUUUUAAACAUUAGUAUUUUUAUACAUAUAAUUUCUUUUAGAUUUAUUCACAUAUCUUUCUUAUUCAAAAAGAAAAUCCCACAUAUUUUUGUGUAUUAUUUAAGUUAUUAUUAAACAUAUAUUUAGAACUUAUAUUUAAUUUGUAUUCAUUAUUAAAGCCAAGAUAUUCUUAUACAUAUAUAUUUUUUAAAUAAACUCACAUAAUGGUGUUUUUAAAAUUAUUAUGUAUAUAAGAUAUGGUUAAUUUUAUAAUUCAUAUUUUAAUUAAAUGAUAUUUUGACAUAUAAUUAUUUCUAACAUUUUUUCACAUGUAUAUGGCACAUAUUAAAUUAUUUUUAUUAUGGUACAUGUUAUUAUUUUCAUAUAACUUUAUGUAAAUAUUUUUCUAUGUAUAUAUAUCGUCUUUUAAAAUUAUUUAUGUGUAUAAUAUUUUUAAAAACCCUUUUAAAUCAUAUAAUUUAUUGUAUCUCAUAUUAUCCUUAUGUUUUUUUUUCAUAUAUAUAUUUUGUUAUUUAUAUAAUUUGCAUAUUUACUUCAUUUUUUAUACAUUAAUAAUUUCAUUCUUUUUAUCAAUAAUUAUACCCAAUGUUUACUUGUAUAUAAAAGUUUCAUAAAUUUACUUUGUAUAUUAUUUUAUAUCAUGUAUUGUUAUUCCUUCAUAUUUAAUACAUUAUUUAAAUUAUCUUGUGAAUUAUCAUUUUUUGAAUAAAUUUGUGUUUUAAAUAUUUUGUAUAUGAUUUGAUUUGAACUUUGAAAUUUAUAAUAACUAUUUCAAUAAACAUAUAUCCCAAGUUUUAUGCAAAUGUGUCGACUUAUAUAUAUCUUAUAUGAUCAUUAAUUCUUCAUUUUGUUUCAUAUAUAUUUUUGUACAUCAUUUUAUUUUGUGUUAUGAUCAUGUAUAUUAUUUUUAUAUUAAUUAUUCAUUAUCCAUGCUUAAAGAAUUUUUUUUGUUACAUUAUACGUAGAAUGAUUGUAAGAUGUAUUAAGCAAGGUUUAUUGUAUUUUGAGUAUAUUAUUUCAUAUUUAUUAUUUUUUACAAUGCAUUAAAUAUUUCAUCAAUUUUAAAAUGAAUAAACAUGUCUUUAAGCAAAUUUCUAAAUUUCUGUUAUUCAAAAAAUCUGAAAUAAGGCAAUAUCUAAUGUUUGGGGAAUUCGAAAAAUUGUGCUCAAUCGUACUGGGUAUGACUUUUCCGGUGAACCAAAUAUUUGGAUAACCCCUUUUAUGAUUUUAAUUUUUUUUUUCAAAAGUUAAACAUUGAUCGCAUCUUAAAGGUAUAAGGGAUCGUAUCCAAUCGUACUGGGUAUGAAACUGCAUAUCUUUGGAACGAGAGAUUUUUGACCACUAAUUUGAGCUAUUCAAACAUUUUUUUAUAUACUUUGGAAAAUCUUUUCUUUUAAAAUUUUUUAAGGACAGCAUCAAAUCAAUUUGGUACCAGUUUUUGGGUGUAAUGAGGGUGCUAACCCUUCCUCAUGCGUAACCAACUCCCGAACUCAUUUUUUAUUUUACCUAAACCAAAUUUAUUUUUCAUUGAAUAAAGCGUUUUAAUAGAUGGUCCAAUCACACCUAAAUCAAGAGAUUGGUGGCAACUCCACACUCGGUUUUAAAAGUCGAUCUCUAUUAUUUUUUAAAUAAAAAAGGGUUUCGACAGCUUGGUGACUCCGUUGGGGAUUGAACGAAGAGAGCCAGGCCAUAAAAUUGAUUAUUUGGUGUCCUUUUGUCAAAGAAUUGAAAAUUUGUUUUGAAAAUCAUGAUUCUUUUAAUUGCAUUUGUUUGCAUGAUUGUUGUGGUUCGAGUAUUGUAGAAUAAUAUGGCAUUGCAUUGCAUGACCGCUGUGGUUAUACCUGUUAAGUGGGAGUAAGAAACUAUGCUUUCGUGAGGUUUUCACCUCCGUAUGGGCUAGUGGAUUGCUUCCGGGAUACAUCCGUACCUAUGGUUUCGUGAGAUUUUCAUCUCCGCAUGGUCAUAAGGAAAUGUAUUCCCCUGAAUUGAACUCGAUUCAUAUGAGCCUAUAAUGGGUGAGAAUUGAGGAAUCUAUUGGUUCAGGUACCCUUUCUCUAGAACUGAACCACAUAUAGUGAACCUUGAGAAUCCACCUUACGUAGAACCUUGCCCAAAUUUAGUGGUCAUCUGAAUAGGUACUUUAUUUGAUAUUUAUUUCACUUGUACUAACGUGUUUUAUUUUUGUUUUGUUUAUAAUUGCAUUGCAUUACAUUAUCAUAGAAAGGAGGUGUUGAUUCAUAUUUGAUUGCUAAAUAGAAUAGCUUGUCAUAAGAAAAUGAAUUUCCUGAUAAAGUGGAUUAUAAUAUGGUUGUUUGAAUUGACGGAAGAAUGCUGACAGUUCGUGGAGAAAAACAAGUCUUUGCCUGAAGAUUCAAGCUGAUAAAGAUCGUUCGAGAGCCGUUGCAUCUCAAUUUUCUUAAUAGGAGCUAGUAACGUCGUGAGGAUAAUAAGUCGUAGCCUAGAUCAAGCAAAAAAGAGCUAGUGGAGGCAUUUGCGAGAUUUGGAUUUCACGAAGAAAAUGGAUCGAUGUCUUCACCUAGAAUAUGAAAGCAAGACCGUAUAUGUAAUUCGUUUUAUGUAAAGGGAUUUGUUUUCUAGAAAAGUUGUUCUAAUGUAAUUAGAUUGAAAACCAACACUUCUCUUUCUUUUGCAUUCAUCCCAUGCAUUUGCAUUGCAUUGCAUCAUUUCAUCAUUUGCAUUAAAUUUUCAUAAAAGGGAUCCCUAAUUAGUUGAAAUCAUUUCACUUAAUCUGGGAACCAACACAAAAUUUACCAACCAAGCGUCAUUACGAUACCCGUGCUAAGAUAAAAGAUAUGGACAAAAGAUUGGAAAGACUUGAACAACUUCAAAGAGAGAUGCAAGACCAGUUACAAAUACAGAUGCAAGAGCAACUGGCGAAGAUUAGGCAAGAUAUGAGGGAUCUGGUGCUAGAGUCUCAAAGGAAUAUGUUGAACCAGUUGUCUCAAUUGCUGAAAAAGGGGCUUGAAGAAAGAAAAAGUUCAGUGAUCAACAUUGGGAAAGACAAUGAGGACCUUCCGGGUUUUACCCCAGUAAGUGCUCAGACGUAUCCGCAAGGUGUACCUAUUGUCAAAAAUCAGUAAUAUCAGGCUGGUACCUUUGAUUAUCCGACAGGUUCAGGCUCUAAUUCGGGGGGCAACCCAACCAAUCUUGAAGUUCUUGAUCUAGAUGAAAUGGAAAAAGUAGAGAGGGAAUUGCCAAGACAAGUUGAGGAUCGGUAUAGGUGGUUGGAGGAAAAAUUGAAAGCAAUAGAGAAUAUCGACUUCUACUGUGGAAUUGAUGCUAAGGAUCUAAGUUUGGUCCUCGAUUUAGUACUCCCGCCAAAAUUUAAAACUCCAAAGUUUGAAAGGUAUAAUGGGACUAGUUGUCUCGAAGCUCAUAUCACAAUCUUCUGUCGAAGGAUGACAGGAUAUGUUAAUAAUGACCAACUGUUAAUCCAUUGCUUCCAAGACAGUUUGAUCGGGUCAGCAGUUAAAUGGUACAAUCAAUUGAGUCGUGCUAAAAUCAAAUCAUGGAAAGACUUAGCACAAGCCUUCAUGAAGCAGUAUAGUCACGUAACAAACAUGGCACCUGACAGAAUUACCUUGCAGAAUAUGGAAAAGAAGCAAAAUGAGAGCUUCAGACAAUAUGCCCAAAGAUGGAGAGAGGUAGCAACACAAGUCCAACCGCCUCUUUUGGAAAAGGAGACCACGAUGCUUUUUAUCUAUACUCUGGAAGCCCCGUUCAUUGACUAUUUGUUGGGAAGUGCUACUUUGAGCUUUUCAAAUAUAGUAAUGUCCGGUGAGAUGAUUGAAGAUUCGAUAAGAAAUGGGAAAAUAGAUAUGGGAGAAGGUGCCAAAAGGUCAACUCCGGGAAACAAGAAAAAUGAAGUGAACAUCGUUGGUCAACAUAGGUCAACCAAGGGUUAUAACCACUAAUCAUCAAAGAGAAUCUGAAUGACAUAUCCAAAGAGAAGUCCAGGGAAUAAAGGUUUCCAAACCCUUAUGUACUUGGAAAUGUUUUAAGCAAUGAGACUGUGGAAAAUAUCCAUGUAUUUUUAGAACUGAUCUAGACUAAUGUUCAAAACGCACUUGUUGCUUUUAAGCUUAGGGGCAAUAAGAAUCCUCUUGUGAAAUAGGCUUGUGUCCAAAAUUUUUAUUUCAAUAAAAUGCAUUCUUUUGGAGUAAAUAUUCUUUCAUUCUUUUGUUCUUUGGACUAUUUUUUUUUAAAUAUGCUUUCAUUCUUUAUUCAUGAUCAUACAUACAAAUAACUAUCCUUGAAAUUUGCCUUUGUACCUACUGUAGGUCCCCAGAUAUCAAUGACAUGAGCAACGCUGUAACUGACUCCCUUUUGGGGUGAGAUAGGUGUUUAAGCGAAUCUCAAGACUUUGGAGAUGACAAAGAUUAUGACUUAUUUCCUGAUUUGUUAAGGACGGUAGAACAAGAUGAAAAAACUAAUCCUACUUUACGAAGGGUCAAUGGACAUUGUGAACAAGGGGCAAAGAUUGAAACCUGAGUCACCACAGGGACAAAAUAAAUUGUAUUUGAGUUACUUCAAGAAAUUCAAAUAUGUUUUCACAUGAUCAUGUUGAGAUAUAUUUGAGAUAUUAAGAUCUGUGGAUGAUACAAAAUGUCUACACAGUGCCAGAAUGACACAUGUUAAAGGUUUCAUGGUAGCCACGCUAACCAUGAGGUUUGGGUAUUGUUGAUCCACCAUGGAAGAUGAUUGCAUUGGUUAAAGCCACAUUCAUUUCUUCACAGAUUUUCUCUAUAUGGGACAAGGAUGUUAUCAGGCCAUUCUCAUCGAUUCAUCUUGGCAGUCAUUGAUUACUUCACGAAAGGGGUGAAGGUCACUUCAUAUGUCAAUAUUACAAGACUAAUAGUCAUCAAAUCUCAAAAAAAAAGAGAAAAAAAGAAAGAAAAGGGGAUGUGACAAGUAAUGACAGAAAGGAUUACUUUCAAAUACAACUGCGCAAUGUCAAAAGUUUGCAGUCUGUUCAAAGAUCAGACAAUAUAUCACAAUGCAGCAAAGGCAUUCAAAAAGAAAAAACAAAAGUACAAAAAUAGAAAAAAAAAGGAAAAGCAAACAACAGUACAAGGGUCAUAGUGAAAAAUUACUGAGUCUUGUAAGGAUUGGCAUAAAGAAGUUAUCAUUUACCCUCUAUAUUUGUCGAACAUGGGCCUAGACUUUCACCGGGGCAACAUAUUGAUUUAUAGGACUGAAACAGUUUUUGAAAUCGAGAUUCCUUUUCUUCGAGUCUUGGCAGAAUUAAAGUUGGAUGAAUCAUAAUGGGUCCAAUCCUGAUCAGUCAAAUUUAAAAGAUAUUUGUCACAGUCAGAUGAUGCUGGUUUAUCCUCGAGAAUUCCAUGAUGGGAGUUUGAUAUUGAAGAAGAUCCUUCCUAUACAAAAGGACUUCAAAGGAAGAAAUAUGUCAAACUAAGAGGGACCUUAUGUAAAGAAUGCAUGUUUUUGAUUGAAAGGAUUUGCCCAGUUCGAGGAAUUCAAAAUGCAGUCAAAGAGUGUCCUAUGGGAAAGGCCAAGGUGAAAACUCGCAAAGGGCGCCUUGAAACCUUGAAAAAGAAAAAAAUCAAAAUAAAAGAAGAUAAAUAAAAAGAAAGAAAGAAUUAAUCAAAAAAGUUGAAAAAUGAAAGAAAAAGGAGAGGCCAGGGCAAAAACCCGCAAAGGGCGCUUUGAGACCAAAAGGGAUUUGAGUUGAAAACCCGAAAAGGGCGGCUUAAAUUUGGAUUAAAGUGGGGUAUACAAUAGUCUUGCUAUGCCUGAAUUAACAAUGAAAGAAGAAUGUUACGUCUUGGGGCAUUGACAAAGUACUCCGGAUCCCAUAAACACAGAUUGAGCUCAGAAUGGUCCUAAAGAAGUUAGUACAGAGAAGCUCAAGCUGCGAUAUCUGGGGCACUUAGCUUUCCAUUUUUACCCAUUUUUGUUUGUUAUCUUUGAUUACCUUGUUCUUUUCAGGUCACUUCCUAAUAGAUUUCUUUCUUGGUUGCAUUUGCUUGUUUGUUUCGAGCUAUGUUCUCAAUUAAUUCCUUUCUUGUCCAUGGUUAUGAUCUUUUUUCAAGCAUUUGGCAUUGAAAUAACAAUUUUUGGACUAAUAAUACUUUUAUAAAGGAAGUUUCGCAUAUUACUUUGGGGAGUUUCUAAAUAAUACAGGAGCCUGAAAUAGGACUAUUGUUUAAAACUCACCAAGCUUAAGGGUUGAAAAUGUUUAAAGCCCAAAUUGAGAUUAUCUCCUUGGAUUUUCUGUCAAAGAUAUUAAUUGGUGUUAUAAUCCCGACAAAAGAGUGAGCAAUGGAAUUAUUCUUGAGAAAAGAAAAAUGGUAUUCUAUAUUCAUGCAGAUAUCAGGCAUAUACAUCUGUUCAUUAUACCCAGGGAAUGGUGUAACAGAUCAAAUUGAUUGAAGAUCCUAUGCCUCUGAGUUAUAGCAGGAUGGAUAGCAGAAAUCAAAUGAUUAUUCCCCUGAGGUUACAGUGGGAAGUUCAAAUUUUAUGUCCUAGAAGACUACAGUGUAAGGGACUCUGAAAUAACAGUGGGGCAAGCUUGCUGAGCAGAAUGUGAUUGUUUCUUUGGGUUUUCUGUCAAGAAUACCAUCCGAACAAGAUGGCAGCAUAAUAAAUCAAUGAUAAUGCUCUGGUGAACAAUGAGCAAUGAUGCCUUAAGCAUUUUUACCAAGAAAAAGAAAAAAGAAAAGAUCAUUCAAAAAAGAUCAUUUUCAUUUUUUGCAUUCAUAUAUCAUUCAUCACAUCUAGUUAGAUGUAUUUGAUUUAUUUUGAUCAUAGCAUCCUAAUUAUUUGACAUAAGCAUCACAUCUAGUUAGGAGCAUUUGAUUCAUUUUGAUCAUAACAUCCUAAUUAUUUGGCAUAAGCAUGAUACAUGAAACCGAGUCUACAGGACAUGUCCAAGAGAAUGGUGUAGUAAUAUCAGUGAAGUCAGAUCUUAUAUCCUUAAAGUUACAGCAGAAUGGAUCGAAGAUUACAAACCUUAUCUCCUUGAGGUUGCAAUAGAGCAGGUUGAAGUGUCAGUUACAGUAAAGCAAAUCAUAACAAGUCUUAUCUCCCUGAGUUUGCAGUGGAGUAGACUGAAGACUGAAAGAUCUUAUCUCCCUAAGUAGUAGCAGAGCAGACCAAAGAUGGCGAAUCUUAUCUCCAUAUAUCGGCAAUGGAGCAGAUUUUAGCCGCUGACCUUAUCUCUCUAAGGUAGCAAGAGAGCAGGUUGAAAAAUGAGUCUUAUUUUCCUAAGGUAGCAAGGAAGCAGACUGAAUAUUGAAGAUCUUAUCUCCCUAAGCAGUAGCAGAGCAGAUCGAGGAUGGCGAAUCUUAUCUCCAUGUAUCGGCAAUAGAGUAGAUUUUAGUCACUGACCUUAUUUCUCUGAGGUAGCAAGAGAGCAGGUUGAAGAAUGAGUAUUAUCUUCUUAAGGCAGCAAGGAAGUAAACUGAAGAUUGAAAAUCUUAUCUCUCUAAGCAGUAGCAGAGAAGAUCGAGGAUGACGAAUCUUAUCUCUAUGUAUCGGCAAUAGAGCAGAUUUUAGCUAUUGACCUUAUCUCUCUGAGGUAGCAAGAGAGCAGGUUGGCGAUUGUAGUCUUAUCUUCCUGAGGUAGCAAGGAAGCAGACUAAAGAUUGAAGAUAUUAUUUCCCUGAACAGAAAAAGUAGAUCGAAAAAGACAAAUUUUAUCUCCAUGUAUCGGCAAUGGAACAGGUUUAAGCCCCAAGAUUUAUUUCCCUGAAGUUGCAAUGGAGUAGAUUUUAUUACUAGCCUCAUUUCUCUGAGGUAGCAAGAGAGCAGGUUGAAGAAUGAGUCUUAUCUUCCUUAGAUAGCAAGGAAGCAGACUGAGAAUUGAAGAUUUUAUCUCCCUGAGAUUGCAGCGGAGCAGAUCUUCGCAGAUGAUGAAUCUUAUCUCCAUGUAUCGGCAAUGGAGCAGAUUUAAGACACUAGCCUUAUCUCUCUGAGCUAGCAAGAGAGUAAGUUUGCGAUUGUAGUCUUAUCUUCCUAAGGUAGCAAGGAAGCAGACUAAAGUUUGAAGAUCUUAUCUCCCUAAGUAGUUGUGGAGCAGAUCGAGAAUGGCGACUCUUAUCUCCAUGUAUUGGCAAUGGAGCAGAUCUAAGUCAUUAAGCUUAUUUCCCUAAAGUUACAGUCCAGAUUUAGCAAAAUCGGGCAAAAUUGGCCCUAUUUGAAGUCUUUGCUCUAUUCUCGUUGCACGAAAAUGAGCAAAGAGGGGCAGCUGUAAUAGGCCCAUUUCGCCCAGGCCUAUACCAAAACCAAAAUAGAAAAAUAAUAAAACCAAAAUAAUUUAAAAGUCAAGUCCAUUUACAUUUUCCAAUUAACCCAAAUAGACCAGCACCCCAUGGUCCAAAACUAAACCAAAUUUUCAGCAGAAACCCUAAGGUUCCCUUGCGCCGAACAGGUUUCCAACAGCUUCCAGCAUCGCUCCUACCUCCGGCCAGUCCCACGUGCGCCAUCAGUCAGCUGGCUCCAUACCUGCAACAAAUGGAAAUUACAACAGCAAAUGAUAGAUAAUAUAACAGAAUAAUAGCAAACAAAUGAAGGGGGAAAAGGGGAAAUUUGAAAAUUUUGAUUUUGUCUAUAUAAAGCCAAUUGUAUACUGUAAAUAGGGGAUUAUUUUUUUUCCACAGAAAUACAGAAGCAUAUUGAAAGAGAAAUAAAAAUCGAAAAGGUGAUUUCCAGUCUUAUUGUUUUCCUUUUUUUUCUUUUUUUUUUGCGUUUUUCUUCUUUAGGAUUACAUGAAAUUUUAAAACAAAAGAAAGAAGGGGAUUUACAUGAAAUUUUAAAAUAAAAAUAAGGGAUUUACCUUAGUAGUCAAUAACCGUCUUCUUCGUCGCAAUCGAAGCAGGGACGGGAUUUUGAAAUCGAAGCAAAUAGUCUUCGAGGUUUAACCCUCCAUGGCUCCUCUGUGCAUCUUGAGUCACUGAUCAAAACGAAGCAAGAACAUGCAGAUAAGGGGGCUAUGGGGAUCGGCCGAAGGGAGAGGAGUGAAUUAGAGUGCUUCUGUCUUCUCUCUUUUGUUAGUAUUUUAGGUUUUUUUAUUUUUUCCUUUUGUUUUUUAUGAAACAAACAAAAUGGCACCGUUUGAGAAAGGUAAAGGUUUGCGUGAAAACUUGAUUUAGAAGUUGGAUUUGUGCCUUUUUAUUUAAAUGGAUAAUUUUGCAUAUUUGAUCCUUCCUCCUUGCACCGCGUUGUAAUCUGCUCCCAUUUGCAUUUGAUUUGCUUUAUUUUCUUUUAGAUUAUUCCCAAAAUUUGAAGUACUUUUAUGUUUUAGUCCGCAUCUCAACACAAUGUUUCAGGAUCAGGGAUUAUUUCAAUCUUGAUCCCUGUGAAUUCAUGUGUGUUAUAUAUGAGUCUCCAUUAGUAGUUUACUUAUUUUGUAAAUUAUCUUUUUAUUUUACUUUGAUUUCAAUUAAGUAUUUUAUUAGAUUUAUGUUAUAAAUUUGGGUUUAUUCACUCAUAUAUUUUCGGUCCUUUUAUUAAUGUAUGUAUAUUCAUCAUUAUUUUAUUUUCAUUUUUGUUUUUUUUAUUGUUUAUAUUAUUUGUAAUGUUAAUAUUAAUUGUAUUAUUUAUAUUGUUGGUUACUUAUUUGUUGUAAUUUGAAUAAUUGAAGUUCCCCUUGCAUACUAUUUUAUGUAGUGUUUUAUGCGUUAUUAUACAUGUAUAUACCUCAUAAUAAUUGGUUUUAUUCCAUGAAUAUUAUUAACAUUAAAUUAUUAUAUACGUUUAACUAUUUUUUUUCACAUAUUAAUGUUAUAUAUGUAUAUGUUUUUUCAAAAUGAAAUCGCAUGUUGUAUACAUUAAUUAAAUUUUAACUAUACAUAUACAAAAAUUAUUGGUAUAUAUAAUUUAAAUACAUUUUUAAACAUUAGUAUUUUUAUACAUAUAAUUUCUUUUAGAUUUAUUCACAUAUCUUUCUUAUUCAAAAAGAAAAUCUCACAUAUUUUGUGUAUUAUUUAAGUUAUUAUUAAACAUAUAUUUAGAACUUAUAUUUAAUUUGUAUUCAUUAUUAAAGCCAAGAUAUUCUUAUACAUAUAUAUUUUUUAAAUAAACUCACAUAAUGGUGUUUUUAAAAUUAUUAUGUAUAUAAGAUAUGGUUAAUUUUAUAAUUCAUAUUUUAAUUCAAUGAUAUUUUGACAUAUAAUUAUUUCUAACAUUUUUUCACAUGUAUAUGGCACAUAUUAAAUUAUUUUUAUUAUGGUACAUGUUAUUAUUUUCAUAUAAUUUUAUGUAAAUAUUUUUCUAUGUAUAUAUCGUCUUUUAAAAUUAUUUAUGUGUAUAAUAUUUUUAAAAACCCUUUUAAAUCAUAUAAUUUAUUGUAUCUCAUAUUAUCCUUAUGUUUUUUUUCAUAUAUAUAUUUUGUUACUUAUAUAAUUUGUAUAUUUACUUCAUUUUUUUAUACAUUAAUAAUUUCAUUCUUUUUAUCAAUAAUUAUACCCAAUGUUUACUUGUAUAUAAAAGUUUCAGAAAUUUAAUUUGUAUAUUAUUUUAUAUCAUGUAUUGUUAUUCCUUCAUAUUUAAUACACUAUUUAAAUUAUCUUGUGAAUUAUCAAUUUUUGAAUAAAUUUGUGUUUUAAAUAUUUUGUAUAUGAUUUGAUUUGAACUUUGAAAUUUAUAAUAACUAUUUCAAUAAACAUAUAUCCCAAGUUUUAUGCAAAUGUGUCGACUUAUAUAUAUAUCUUAUAUGAUCAUUAAUUCUUCAUUUUGUUUCAUACAUAUUUUUGUACAUCAUUUUAUUUUGUGUUAUGAUCAUGUAUAUUAUUUUUAUAUUAAUUAUUCAUUAUCCAUGCUUAAAGAAAAUUUUUUUGUUACAUUAUACCUAGAAUGAUUGUAAGAUGUAUUAAGCAAGGUUUAUUGUAUUUUGAGUAUAUUAUUUCAUAUUUAUUAUUUUUUACAAUGCAUUAAAUAUUUCAUCAAUUUUAAAAUGAAUAAACAUAUCUUUAAGCAAAUUUCUAAAUUUCUGUUAUUCAAAAAAUCUGAAAUAAGGCAAUAUCUAAUGUUUGGGGUAUUCGAAAAAUCGUGAUCAAUCGUACUGUAUAUGACUUUUCCGGUGAACCAAAUAUUCAGAUAACCCCUUUUAUGAUUUUAAUUUUUUUUUCAAAAGUCAAACAUUGAUUGCAUCUUAAAGGUAUAAGGGAUCGUAUCCAAUCGUACUGGGUAUAAAACUGCAUAUCUUUGGAACGAGAGAUUUUUUACCACUAAUUUGAGCUAUUCAAACAAUUUUUUUUAUAUACUUCGGAAAAUCUUUUCUUUUAAAAUUUUUUAAGGAGCAUCAAAUCAAUUUGGUACCAAUUUUUGGGCGUAAUGAGGGUGCUAACCCUUCUUCAUGCGUAACCGACUCCCGAACCCGUUUUUUUAUUUUACCUAAACCAAAUUUAUUUUUCAUUGAAUAAAGCGUUUUAAUAGAUGGUCCAACACACCUAAAUCAAGAGAUUGGUGGCGACUCCACACUCGGUUUUAAAAGUCGAUCUCCAUUGUUUUCUAAAUAAAAAAGGGUUUCGACAAUGCCAAUAGCAUGUUUUUUAUUUAUUAAACUAUAUGUGCAACUAGUAUGUUCUGAUCAGUUAUGUUAUGUCAUUUUCAUGUGUAUUAGGGUUGGGUUAUGUAUGACUUGGAGGAAGUUCUAAUAGACUACAAUCUGCGAUUCUGGCAGUUUACCCGCAAAUUUUGAUUUGGCAGUUAAACUACAUUCAGCCAAAAGUAUGACCAUUACGAACCAACCACUAAACUAAAAGCACACGAACCUAGCCCUUAGAGAAAAGGUUUCUAAUGCAUUAAGUCACUGGAGGAAUGAGCGCCUCACAAUCCUCACCUAAUACACCAUUAAACCAACUAUCCUCUCAACUUAAACCAAAGCAAACAUCUUUAAAUUAAAAUAAAUGAAUGGAUUAUACUACUUAAAAAAUAAAUUGUGAUACUACCCCAAUUUGAACUGUGUCAUCGAGAGGUGAGUAGUUCUUGUCGACUAGUUAGGUUAGUAGAUGAUUUAGAAGCCCUGCUAGGUUAAUUAGUAACCAACUAUUUAAAACUCUACACCAAUAAUUAAUCAGGUAAAACAAUCGGAUCUAGGCCGAAGGAACUCGCAUAGUAGAAAUAAGGGAUAGAAGAUGAACUUAGGAAUAGAUUUAGGUUUAAUUCAAUUUAUUUGGUUAUUAUUACUAUCAUCUUACUUCUAGAUUAACACUACUAAUUUGUGACUCGAGUAGAUUAGUGAUAAUACUCAAGAAUAACAUAUUUUUAAGUAUUAAUUAUAUUUUAUUUUGAGUAUGAUCCUACUAAUUUGAGCUAUUUAUGGUUUUUUAUCUGGUAGGGAUUAAAUUGAAUGCAAAAGAAAAUUUGGGGGCAAAAAGCGUGAAUUUGAAGCAAAAUGGGCCAACAUGCAAAAUAGAAAAUAAAUGGUGCUGAAAAUGCAAAAUGUGGAAGACUUGAGGGGCAAAAUUUCAAAGAAGAGAUUUAUAAACAUUAGACUUUAUUUAAAUUUGAAUUUUAUUUGGAUUAUUGUUAGGAUUAUUAUUUAGAUUUAUUUCAGCUUUUAUCUUCAUUUAUCCUUUAGAGUUUAAAUAGGAACAAACUUAGUUUUUCAUGUACUAUAAAUAGGAGAUGGAGUGACACAAAUUAACACUCAUCUUUUCUGUAAAAACUCCCUCUUCCUAAAGCUCUUAGCUUUUUGUUCCUUUUUAUUUAUUCAAUAAAAUUCAAUUUUAUUAAACUUAUUUCUUUUUUUCCCCAAAAGCAUAAUCUGCUAAACUCAUCUAGCCAAAAGUUGUCGAGAUUCCUCAAAAAAAGGUUCAUGCAGCUUAGAAUCUGCACUUAGCCUUCUAAACGAGUAUUCGUCGUUUCUCCACAUUAUGGGACUGAUGCUUCCGUCCAUGUCCUUCCAAAAGUGAUUAUUUCAUCUAGAGCAAAGGCGGCCGCUUUGUAUGUUUUGGGAAAGUUGCACAGUUGAUUCGUUAGCUUACUGCGCCAGUGGUUGUCGAGCCCAAGAGAAAAAAUGGCGUGGCAUUCGCCAUUGAGAAAUGAUGAUCUAGUGUAAUAUGGUCCCACAAAAGUGACGGUUGGCUAGAGUCAGGUUCCUCUAAAUCGUAAAUCUAAAAUCUAAGUGGAGCUAGUGGUCGUCCUCUUCCACUAUAACUGGCGUAUUCUAUUCGAGAAGGAUCACCUAAAAGCCUAGGAUUGAACCCAAGAAGGAUCGAGAUAACCGGAGGCUGGAAUCUCUCAAUCCAAGAAUCUUUUUUCUCGACUCUAUUUAUUUUUACAAUUUCAAUUUCAAUUUACAAAAUCUCAAUUCGUCCAUAUUUUUAAUUCUUUUUUUUUCAGGUACGCCUUUUUUGGGCAGGACUGUGCCCGGGAUCUCGAGGAACAAGAAGUUGUGCAAAUCCAAUCCCUGAGGAUUUGACCCUACUUCCCUUAUACGAUUCUUUUCGUUAUUUUAAAGGGAUAGGAUAUUUUUUGUGCUCUCAACAACGCAUCAAUUAGUAGUUAUUUUUAGUAAUUGGCUUAAUAGCAGUUUUUCCCAAACUGCAAUCCCCUGGGGUACGACCCUCGGAAUACUUAUUAAGUGUUUUGUUGUAAACAAACUAUAUUACAAUCUGGCCCGUAUAUUUGUGGACACCAUGUAACGCCCCAAUUUUCUUAUGUUUAGAUCGUUAAAUUAUGUCAAGUAAUUUGAUUUAGUCUGUUGGUUAUGUGCCUUGAAUGUAUGCUUUAGGUCUUGAGUUCGAUUCUCUCGUUUUGGAUUUUUCUUAUUAAUUUUCGCAUUAUGUUAAGCUUGAGCUUUUGGGAUUAACUUUUAUUUUUGUCGGAUUAUUAAUAAGAAUGAGCCUGUUGGUUUAGUGGUAUGGCUUGAACUUACAUAUAGAUAUUGUGUUUGAAUCCCGUUGUGCGCAAAUGUGAAAUAUUUUUUAUUUUGGCUAUUCUUUUGAAGUAGAGUUCAAAUUAAAUUCCAUAAAAUCUGGUGGGUUAAGAUUUGGUUAAAGUUGAAUUACUUUAACUUUUUUUUGAGUUAUCACCCAUAAUUUUACUCCCACUUCCAACCGUCCAAUUUCUCUUAUACCUCUUUCACAUUUCUUUUUCUUCCCAUUUUGUUUUUCUUCUUUCUUUUUCUUUCACUUUCCUUUGAGUUAUCUUUCUUUUCUUUUCUGUUAAUUUUUUAUUUCAAUCAUCCUAUCUUCUAAGAUGUUUGUGUGUGUUACUUGCAAUUUAAUCGUUGUUCAAAGCGUGGUGUAAGUUUUAUCAAGAUAUUUUUCUAUUAUUUUAGCCUUAACUUGUUCUUGAACAAGAUUAGAGUUGUUGAUGUUUAGUUUCCUUUCCAUGUUAUGUUAAGUAUUUUCGUGAUUUUGAUUAGGCGAAGGGUAUGAGAAUCAAAGUCCUCUAGCAAAGUAGUUCUCAUUUGGACGUUGUUUUCUGAGUAGUAAGUACUCAAACCUCACUUUAGGGACUAAAAUUUUGAGAAAAUAAUGUGAUUUUGGAAGGAUAUUUGAUGGUUAAUUGGUGUGAUUUGAUGAUUUAUUGUAUGAUUCAUGAGCUCCUAGUUGUAUGGCUAAUCAAAAAUAUUGUUAGGUGUGUGAAUUAACCCAAAAAACUCGACUGAAACUCGGAAAAAUCCAAAAAUAGGGGUUGUUUUCAAAAUUGCACAGCAUCACACAGUCAUGUGACAGGCCGUGUGACAGGCCGUGUGCACUACACGGUCGUAUUGUAGGCCAUGUGCUAGGCCAUAUGUGAUUACACGGCUUGAAUAAGAAGGUCGUGUGGACCACACAAGCUAGCUUAUUAGGCCGUGUAGGCCAAACAACCAUGUGGGUCCUCUAAACCUAUUUUAAAGGCCCGAUUAGAGGUCAAUUAAGUGACCCAAAAAUUGUAUCCGUGGGCAUUUUGGUAGGCCUAUAAAAGCGGAAAAUUCAAUAUGUUAAACAUGAGUAAGCUUAGAAAGCAUGUUAAGUAAGAUUCACUUUAUAUAAGUUAUGUAUUAUGUUACGCUCUAUAAAUAUAUGUUUAAAAAUGCAUGCCAUGCAACCGAUAUGAUAUGUAUGUAUGUUAACAUGAUUACGUAUAUGCAUUGGGGUGGACUUUGGUAUAGUGGAGGAAGUGUAUUAUGGCAGUUUUAUAGCAAUUUUGGCUAUUAAACCGCAAUUACUGUCUAACAGCUUAGCUAUAUAUUUUGAGUGACAUACCGCUACGUACUGGUAUGAUUGGAUGGAUGGACUCAUGUAGUCCCAAUUGAUGUGAUUGGUUGGACGAAGAUUGUAACACCCCAAAAUAAGGCCUAGAAGUUUUAGGGGUAAUUUAGGAAUUUUACCCUUAGAGUGUUUAGAAUUUUGCGACAUGGUAUACUGAUAAUGUUUUUUACUAUGGUUUUUAGAAAAUUAAAUCAAUUUCUGAAAAUGAGUUUUAAAUACCUUUAAUUUUGAGAAUAGGACUGAUAUGUAAAAGAGUCAAAACUUAGAGUUUUUAAGAGGGAAUUAGACCAGAUUUUCCAACUUACAAACCCCAUUUAUAGUUUUAUUUUCACAUUAGUCGUCUUCUUCUUCUUCUUCUCUCAUACGUGUGCCAUCUAUAGUUCUCCCAACACUCCCGAUCAAUUUUAAAAUCCAAAUCCUAAUUCCUUUUGAUUUUUAUCAUCUCUUUUAAGUUAUAUAUAUUAUUCAAACAUUUGUCGUCAUAUGACAGAAACUAGUAUAUAAAGCAAACGGGUGUGCAAGUUUGAACCACCAAGCAAAAGUACUAAACCUGUACAAAUUUAGUAAGCAACCAAAAGGUAAGAAACUAACUAUCAUGGCUGCCAGUUUAGCUUUACCAUAUGCAGAAACUAACUAUCAUGGCUGCCAGUUUAGCUUUACCAUAUGCAGCAGGCAUCCCAGCUUCAGCACGCCAGCAGCGUCGUAGAAGCAUGGUGAUCAAGGCACAGAAAACCAGUAUCAUGGCCAACCACCUGCAGUACAACACUAUGAAAAAGCCAGUGGCUUUGGUUCCAUACCACGCCAUCCUCUUACACAGCCUUCAUUCAAUACCAGACGGAACAACACAAUGGUGGUGGGUGCUUAUCCCAACUUGAAAUUAGAAGUUAUACUGGGAAUUACAGUAUAUACAGACGGUUGGCUUGAGAACUUUUUUGGUAAACUUAUGAAGUUGGACGAUAAGAUCUUUUGGUUAGGCUCGACAAAGAAAUCAAGGAUGGACACACCAACGUGUUUUUGCAGAAAGCUGACUUGGGCAGUUCAAUUGGAGGACUCGAAUAUGUAUUCCCAGAAGAUGCGUAUAAGUGGGUGAUUGCUUGGAGCAACGCCAGAAAUGAUCUCAAUAAGGUUUUGUAUUUGUAACCUUCAACAACUAACUCAAAUUACUAUUAUUUACAGCUUGUAAUUACAUAUAUGCAUGUUGUUGAAGUUAGUUCCCAUGCAAGACAUACAGCCCAUGCAGAUUCAAGCACGUAAGAACAAAUACACAUAAGUUGUCCGGGUAAAGUAUAUGCAAGAAUUCAUACACAUAAGUUACCCGGGUAAAGUACGUGUAACUGAAGCUAUUUGUUUUGGUUCUUUUGUAACCAAGUCUAUGAAAUGUGUUCUAGUUCGUUUUGAACUUAGUUUAAGCCUACAUUUGAUGUAGUUUGAUGAUGUAGGAGCUGAUGACCAACUUUACUUAAGUGUACAAGUUUAGUUUUGUAAGUUCCAAUGUAAUAAGUGGAGUUAGGUAGUGUUUAGGUGAUGAAUUUGUUGAUCUUUUGACCAGCCAAUGACUGGUAUAUGUAAUGGCUUUAAACCAAUAUUUCAAGUGAAUGAAAUCAUCAGAUUUUUUUCCAUAUGCUCCAUCUUUCUUUGCCUUCUAAAAACUUCUAAGUUCUGUUCUUCAUUCUUGACAGUAGCUAAAAAGCUUGAACUCCAAGCAUUUUUUCCUUCAUAUUUUACCCGGGUAUAAUACGUUGCUGCUGGUGCUCUGUUUGAAAUUCUUACUUUACCCGGUUAAAGUGUGUUGAAACUCCAACAAUUGGUAUCAAGAGCUUUCAUCUUAGAGGACCUGUUGUUGAAAAUUAAAUGGCUUCAUCAGGUUUUUCUCCUGCAGCACUACCAGUUUUUAAUGGUGAGGGGUUCCACAUAUGGGUUGUCAAGAUGAGGACUUACCUACAGGCCUUUGAUCUGUGGGAAGUUGUCAACACUGAUGUCGAGCCAGCUCCACUUCGAGCCAAUCCAACAGUGGCUCAAAUCAGACAACAUGCAGAUGAGAGGACCAAAAAGCACAAGGCUAUGUCAUGAAUUCAGAACUAUGUUUCUGAUGUUAUUUUCACCAGAAUCAUGGCUUGUGAGACUCCCAAGCAGGCCUGGGACAAACUUAAGGAGGAGUUCCAAGGUACUGAGAGGACAAGACAGCAGCAGUUGUUGAAUCUGAGAAGAGAGUUCGAGAACUUGAAGAUGAAGGAAGAAGAAACUGUCAAGAAGUAUUCUGACAGAAUCAUGGCUGUAGUUAACAGCAUAAGGCUCCUUGGUGAGCAAUUUGAUGAGGCAAGGAUUGUGGAGAAAGUGCUCUCUACCUUACCGGAGAGGUACAAAGCAAAAAUAUCCUCCUUAGAGGAUUCAAGGGAUCUGACCAGUAUCUCUUUAACAGAGCUGAUCAAUGCUCUGUAUGCACAAGAGCAAAGGAGGGCCAGCAGAUCGGAGGAGCACCAGGAGGGUGCUUUCCAAGCUAAGGCCAAAGCAGCCUUGAGCACCUCAGCCUAUAAAGGCAAAAAGAACUUGAGAAACAGGCCUAAGCCUGAUGCUGCAAGAGGAGAAGAUCGACUCUGUAGAUUUUGUAAAAAACUUGGUCAUCCAGAGGCCAGAUGCUGGUUCAGACCAGAUGCUGUGUGUCAACACUGCAAAAAGAAAGGCCAUGUUGAAAGGGUCUGCAAAGAAAAAGGCAGACCUGGCCAAAACCAAUAACAUAAGGCUGAAGCUCAGAUAGCUGAAGAUGGCAGUGACAAUGAAGAGCAGGUCUUUGCAGUCUCCUGCUCAGCUGCUCAGAAGAAAGUCUCAAAUGGUUGGCUUCUUGACAGUGGCUGCACCAAUCAUAUGUCACCAGAUGCAGCUAUUUUCAAGUCAUUAGACAGAAGCUGCAAAACAAAAGUUAAAGUCGGCAAUGGCCACUUUAUCAAGGCAGAAGGAAAGGGAGAUGUUGUUAUUCGCACAACCACAGGUGAGAAAAUCAUCAAAAAUGUCCUGUUGGUACCUGAGAUUGACAUGAAUCUUCUUAGUAUCUCUCAAUUGUUAGAGAAAGGGUACUCAGUUGUGUUCAAAGGCCAAAAGUGCAAAAUCACUGAUCCAAAUGGAUCAAGCUUCAUGACAGUCACCAUGAGUGAAAAAUGCUUUGAAGUCAACUGGUCAGGUGACUCACACUCAGCCCAUGUUGCUUCAACAGAAGACACCAAGCUUUGGCAUCAAAGACUUGGUCAUGCCAACUUCAAGUCUAUGGCUCGAAUGGUCAGUAAGGAAAUGGUUGAAAACUUCACCAAAACAGUUUAUAUUGAAGAUGUAUGUGAAGUUUGUCAGAUGGGAAAGCAAGCUAGGCUUCCAUUUCCUGCAAAUACCACCUGGAGAGCAUCAAGUAAGCUGGAAUUAGUGCACAGUGAUGUUUGUGGUCCCAUGAAGACUGAAUCACUUAGUGGCAACAGGUACUUUAUUCUCUUCAUUGAUGAUUUUACCAGAUACUGCUGGGUUUAUUUUUUGAAGCAUAAGUCUGAGGUUGCUCAAGUGUUUAUAAAGUUCAAAGCUGCAGUGGAAACAGAAACAGGCUGCAAGAUAAAUACCAUUAGGUCAGAUAAUGGGACUGAAUACACUUCAGCCCAGUUCCAAGCCCUCUGCAAUGAUGCUGGCAUCAAACACCAGCUAACAAAUGUUUAUACACCUCAACAGAAUGGGGUCAGUGAAAGAAAAAAUAGAAGCCUAUUGGAUAUGGCUAGAUGUCUCUUGUUUGAGAAGAAAUUGCCUAAAAAUUUGUGGGCUGAAGCAGUUAACACUGCAGUCUACUUACAAAACAGGCUUCCAACCAAAGCACUUGCUUACAAGACACCUUUUGAAGCCUGGUUCGGGUUCAAGCCAUCAUUGGCUCAUAUGAAAGUCUUUGGUUGCCUAUCUUACAGCCAAAUAACAGUUGUAAAGAGGGAUAAGUUGUCCAAAAGAGCUAUUCCUGGUAUUUUAGCCGGGUAUAGUAUGGUUAAGAAGGGCUACAGGAUUUUGGACCCUUUAACAAACAAAAUUCAUGUAAGUAGAGAUGUGAUCUUCGAUGAAAAAGCAUGCUGGAAUUGGGAAAAUAAUGAGCCAGAGGCUGUUUCUGAAGAGCUAAUGGUUGAUCAUGCUGAACCUAAUCAAAUUAGUCCUGAAAUGGACAUUGAUGACAUGCCAUUCAGUGGCACUAGACCUUUGGCUGAAAUUUAUGAAAGAGCACAAGUUGCCAUAGUGGAGCCAUGCAGUUUUGAAGAAGCUGAAGCUGAUAAGUGCUCAAAAACCCAACAACAAUCGAUUGUGGCUCAAUCAACAGCAGAAGCUGAAUAUGUUGCAGCUGCAAAUGAUGUAAAUCAAGCUAUAUGGCUCAGAAAAAUUCUAGCUGAUCUUAACCUACAUCAAAGGGAGGCAACAGAGAUCUUUUGUGACAACAAGUCUGCUGUUGCAAUUGCAAAGAAUCCUGUCUUCCAUGGCAGAACGAAGCACUCCAGCAUCAAGUUACAUGUGAUAAGGGAGAUGGAACAAGCUCAAGAGGUAGAGCUGAUUCAUUGCAAUUUAGAGGAGCAGGUUGCUGACAUUUUCACAAAGGCCCUUGGUGUGUCAAGGUUUAUAAAACUGAGAAAGCAGCUAGGUGUUACAAGCAUGGAAACUAAGGAGGAGUGUUGAAGUUAGUUCCCAUGCAAGACAUACAGCCCAUGCAGAUUCAAGCACGUAAGAACAAAUACACAUAAGUUGUCCGGGUAAAGUAUGUGCAAGAAUUCAUACACAUAAGUUACCCGGGUAAAGUACGUGUAACUGAAGCUGUUUGUUUUGGUUCUUUUGUAACCAAGUCUAUGAAAUGUGUUCUAGUUCGUUUUGAACUUAGUUUAAGCCUACAUUUGAUGUAGUUUGAUGAUGUAGGAGCUGAUGGCCAAUUUUACUUAAGUGUACAAGUUUAGUUUUGUAAGUUCCAAUGUAAUAAGUGGAGUUAGGUAGUGUUUAGGUGAUGAAUUUGUUGAUCUUUUGACCAGCCAAUGACUGGUAUAUGUAAUGGCUUUAAGCUAAUAUUUCAAGUGAAUGAAAUCAUCAGAUUUUCUUCCAUAUGCUCCAUCUUUCUUUGCCUUCUAAAAACUUCUAAGUUCUGUUCUUCAUUCUUGACAGUAGCUAAAAAGCUUGAACUCCAAGCAUUUUUUCCUUCAUAUUUUACCCGGGUAUAAUACGUUGCUGCUGGUGCUCUGUUUGAAAUUCUUACUUUACCCGGUUAAAGUGUGUUGAAACUCCAACACAUGUAAUCAAUUAUUCUCAUCUAUCUAUCAAUUGCAGGUCUACACUGUGAUCCUUCGUGACGACACUGAUUGGACUAAAAUCAAACAAAGUCUUGAUGCAUCCGGCCAAGAAAGCAUAUUCAACGGCCUUAACCAUGACAUUCCAUUCUCUUCAGUCGUUUGUGAUUGAUAAAACAAGCCCUACGCCAACAAUUGUGGCAGUACUUCUAAAGAUAAGAGUACCCUAGCAUCCACCAAAAAAACUCUAGCAGCCGCCAAUUUCUCUAAUUACCUUACACUAGCCGACAGACAAAUCUCUAAAGACCUUAAACAAUCCAACGGCGCAGGGGUAGCACCAGAUACUCAGGGAGUAGAAAAGCAGAUGGCAGCAGGUGGUUAGACACGAUCUUGAUAAAGUAUAUAAUUAGCUGGCUUUGCUUAUCGAUCAAACUGUGCUAUGCAGUUAUGUAACUAUAUAUUACUAUUGCAAUAAAUUUGAAAGCCAGCAGUGUUUCGACUGUUAUGGGUGUCUUGGUUAUGCAAAAUUUCAGAGUAUAUGUAGCUGAUCAUAUCUGAAAGUAAAAAGCCUAUUACUAUCUUAUCAUCUAAUGUUUGCUCCACCUACUUCGUCCUUCCUUCUAAACAAGUUCUCAGACAAAGUUGAAAAUAAAGACCUUAAAAACUUUUAAUAGUAUGUUUAUCUAGUAAUAUCUAAAAUCCAAUAAUUCAAAACCAUGACUCCCCAGUUAACCAACAAAAUUACAACUUGUUUAAAUGGAGUAUGUAAUUGAUAUUUCCUUUGGUUAGGUUAAAUAAUUUUAUCAAAGAUAUAUAACUAAAAAUUUUUUGGGUGAUCCAUGCUAAAAUAAUUCAAAUCAUGUUUCAUGUCAAAAUUUUAUUUAAACUAAAGCCACAAUUUCCAAAUAUAUAAACUAGAUAUAAUUCAAUUCCCUUUUAUUACCUAUGGUCAAAUACAAUAAUUAAUCCUAGUGAGAAUAAGUCGAAAACUGAAAUUAACCCAAGUGCUAUAGGCUGAAAAUGUCAUGGCUAGAAGAAUUGAUUCAUUUUUUAGUUUAUCUAUGCAUAUUUAGAAAGUAAAUUGAUUUGGUUUAGUAGUUAAUCGUUCUAGAUUGUGUGCUUGAAGUCUUACGUUCAAUUCUCUUUUCUUAGAUAUUUUCAUUAAUUUUGUCUCAAUAUCUGGAUUAGCACGUAUAGAAUUAUCUUUAAUUUUUGUUUGCUCAUCUAUAAUAAUGAGCCUAUAGGUUUGGUGGUAAGACUUUAGUAUUUUUUUAGGUUUGAAGUUCAAAUCUUGUUGUAUGCAAAAGUGGUAAUUAUUUUUGCUAUUCCCCUAAUGUCUUGCUCUUAGAGAGUGGGUCAAAUGCAAACUCUAAAGUGAUAAUAGAUAAAUUAUGAUAUUGUUUUAUUUUCUUUUUAAAUUGAGAAUUAUUUCCCAAAACUCUCUCUUUUGCCAUCCCACUCCCCCCCAUUCUCAACUUUGUUUUGCAUGUUGUUUUCUUUUGUUGUUAUAACGCCGUUUUGCCAAAUUUUCUUUGUUUUCUAUCCCUUCCCUUCCCAUCUCUUCUUUCUUUCCCUUUUUCUUUUGUUUCCAUAAGCUCGCAAUAAACACUCUAUUGUUCUUUUCUUUUGCCACCCUACCUUCUUCAUUGUCAGUCAUCACAUCCUAUCACACACAACUUAUAGCCAUCGUAAUCUAUCGCUCCUUGUACACCACCAGCCGACAACAGCAAUAGCCCUUUGCAAUAGCCCUUUGGUGACCCGUGGCUGAUUCUCUCAACAUUCGGUAGCCCUUCUUUGCCGCCCUUAACCAUCAUCUACAUAGAUCAAGUGUGGGUCCUAACCUUUUGUAAUAUGUGUAUGUUUCUCAUUCAUAAGUGAAUCGUUUGAUUUUGUGAUAACUGGAUGCAUGUGUAAAUAAAUCUUGUUGGGUCGUAUAUGUGUGAAUCCUAAUCCUAUGUGAUAUGUGAGUGUAAGAUAACAAUCAAAUGAUAUUGUGUUUUAAUUGAUAUCGUUCGAUUGUGACCUGUGUUUUGUUCUGGCAAAGGCCAAAUGUAAGUAAUUCCCCUAACUAUAAAAUUUGGUGUAAUCCAAUUGACUGUGGGAGUGUUUCUGUAAUGGUCAAAUACGGGUAAGUGAGUUGGGUGACAUGAUCGAAGGUAAGUACGCCCUAAUUUGAGUUAGUCGAAUGCGUAUAUGCCCCUACCCUAUUGCUGAAAGUGAUACUUGCUUGUUUUUGUGAUGGUUGAAUGUGCCAAUAGCAUGUUUUUGAUAUGUUAAACUAUAGCGCAAUUAGUAUGUUCUAAUAAGUUUUAUCUGAAUAUGCCAAUAGCUUGUUUUUUAUCUAUUGAACUAUAUGUGCAACUAGUAUGUUCUGAUCUACUUUAUCUGCAUAUGGGCAUGCCUGAUUUGAGUAAGCUCAGUUAUGUUAUGUUGUUUUCAUGUGCAUUGGGGUUGGGUUAUGUAUGAUUUGGAGGAAGUUCUAGUAGACUACGAUCUGCGAUUCUGGUAGUUUACCCGCAAAUUUUGAUUUGGCAGUAAAAUUGCAUUAUCUAUUUCUGGUAAUAUUUUCUCAAUAAAUCUGGCAACUUGUCUAGAUAAUUAUUUGUGGCUAAAGACCACGAUUUUUAUGUGCUUGAAUGGAAAGGUUUCUAAUUACCCUAAUUAGUGUGUUGGGUGGAUAGAGAUGGUGUGUUGUGAAUGGGUGUAAGAUUUGUUUUGUUGACACAUUGCAUUGCAUGAUUUGAUCAUACCCAUGCUAAUGCACUGGUUGAAAAAUGCCAUGCUUUUUACAAACUUUGUUUUGAUGGUAUUGAUUGAUGAUUUUUCCAUGUACCGUUGUUGGCUUUAUUUGGAUGGCUUAUAGUUAUUCUGAGAAUGGCUUUAUGACUAAAUUGUUACUUCUAGACUCACACUGAGCUCUUUAGCUUAUCCCCUUUAGUUUAUUGUUUUUGUAGAUAACCCUGAGAUAGAGGCAUGGACACGAUUUUCGGAAGAGCUUCUCGAAUGAUUUCAAUUUUAAGUAUUUUAAUUACAAAUUUAAUCACUAUUUUUGGGACAACAAUAAGUUUAUUUAUGGGCUGUGGCAUGAGACAUUACUUUGGGGAUUAUUAUUCUAAUUUGCAUGACUUGGUUACAUGACGCUAAAGUUUUAAAAACUAGUUAAAUGGGUAUUUUAAAAGUGUACGCAUGAAAUUUGGUUUUUAAAAAUUCCGACAUAAUCACUCUUUUUCGCUGCGACAAAUUAAAUAAGUUUUGGGUAAAAUACGACUUAGUUUUAUGGAUUAGUUUCAGUGUUUAUUAGCAACAUUUUAUGCUUCAAGUAAUUAUCAGAAGUAGUUUCAGAAAGUUUAGAAUUUUCAGUCUCUAACUAACUAUAUGCAAUUUUAAACAGUUCAGAGUUUUCUAACUACAGUAUUUCUAAGUUUAGAAAUACUUACAGGAUUGGCGUCGGAGACUCAAUGUACCACAUGCUUAUUUUUUUCAAACUAAAAAUAAAUUUUACUCGAAAAAAUAGUUUUUUUUUGUUACAAACAAAAUUUUGAACCCAAAAUUUCACAGCCCGAGUUUUGAAAUCUGACUCUGAUACCACUGAAUGUAAGACAUCAAAUCCGGCCGAGACGUUAUGGUCGAAUCCGGAAGUGUUACGAAGAAAAUUUAUAAACCGACUUCCUUGUUAUUUGCAAAUCAACGUAACCGUUGUUACUUAGUAAGUCCGAUUUGUUUAGAAAACUUAUUGAUAUACUUAUUUGAUUUAAAAUCAUUGCUCGUUUACAUCUUUCUAUUAAAUUGAAUGUUUUGCAGCGGAGUUUCUUCAGAACAUUAUAUUUUAGCAAAUCAAAUUGUUUCUUCAAAAUCAUUAUUUCAGGAAAGUUGUCAUUUUCAGAAGAACCAUUUUAUCAGUUGUUAUACUAGGAAACCAAAAUAAAAUUCCAAACUAAAAAAGUUCCAAAAAGUCUGGAGAGUCCCAAAAUUACAAAACUCUCAAAAACCAAAAAAGUUUAAACGAAUUUUAAACUAAUGAAAUUUUCGAAAAAGUGGUCACCACUAAGCCUCCGUCGCACCGACCCGCCUAAGUCUAAGGAUUACCUGAACAGAAUAGACAAACAGAGAGUGGGUUUUGAAAACUUAGUGUGUAACGCGUAUAUAAAUAGAAAUUCAAAUUCAAUCUCAUGGCAGAAUAGACACAGAUGUAUAUCCUUUACAGAGUCCGAAUUAUACAAAAUCAUACAAAUACAAAUAUGCAAAAAUCCUACCUCCAUCCUCUACACACCAACUUUGAUUAUCCCAACACACCACGUGGGGUAUAAAAAUACCUACCCAACCUUACACACUGCAUAGUGUCUAUACGACACUUUUCAAAAUAAUCGCAGCAGUGCUACCAAUAUAAAGGCGAGAUAUCACCUCACACAGAACACUUCCUCCUCAUAAUACAAAUCCAGCCCCAAAGCUAGAUACAGACAGAAUACCAGAUAAAAUAGAUUAACAGAUACCAAAAUUCACAUUUCAUGCAUACUCGUAUAACAAAUAUUACACAUGCUUAUACAUAAUAGAAUAGAUCUUACAUAUCGUAUUUCAUAAUACUCAUAUAAAUGUUAUUUACGUCAAUUUCAAUCUAAUAGAGUAGCAAAUUUCAUGCUUUAAGGCUUAUACCAUCGACCCUAUGGAAGAAGGCCCACAGUCGAUCGAAACGACCUGUACGACCCUUGGGAAAAACUCUAUAAUUUGGGCCCAUAUGCCCGUGUGGCCCACACAGCCCAAAAUGGCCUAGGUUUUGUGUCAUACACGACCUCACACACGCUCGCCAUCUGACACACAGCCUACCACACGGCCAGGCAUAUGUCCGUGUGGUGUCGACAGGCCUAAUUUUUUACUUUCGCCAAUCACCAUUUUUCGAGUUUCUUGUUACACACCGGGCUCUAUUUUGAUGUGAAAACAACCCCGAGACCUCCGAAACCUAAAAACAGUAUCCCAACAACUAUUUAGCAAUUGGUUUACAAAUUAGACAAGAAUAAACCAAACAAUGUACACAAACUAACUGCCAACGAACACAACCACACACAAUAAUUAGGACGUUGGAGUGAAAUCCACUGCUUCACAAUCUUCUCAUAUGCAACGCAUUCACAAAAAUUAAAUUCCCUAACCACAACAUCAUUACGCCAAUUUAGAAGGAAAAUUCCAAACCAAACGAACUUACAAAAACCAAAAACUAAGGGAAAGCAAAGGCCCCACUUACCAAGACGAACAAAGAACAACCUAAAAAUUCGAAUCCCAACUAUUAGAAUGAUCGAUUUGUGAACAAUGUAGAAAGAAGAAGCAAUAGAAAUUUGCAGAGGAAAGGAAAAAGAGGAAGGGGAAAACAUCAGAAUUUUUUUGGGAAAAUAAUAAAAUUAAAAAUUAAAAUUAAAAUCAAAAAAUUAUCCCAAUUCCCUACUAUCCCACUAACUAACAAAUCCCCCCAAAACUGACCCACUAACUCUCAUCUACUACCAUAUAAUUUUAACUCCACCAAAGCUCUAUUACACAACUAGCACACACACAGAAGCAAAAAAUAUUGCCAAACGCUCACUCGGGAUUCAAACACAAGAUAUUGGGGCAAGCUAACACUUACCACUUGAACCUGCUAGCUCAUUCUAAUAAGAGUUGACCGAAAAUAUAAUAUAAGCCAAACCACUAGAGAUAAGGCUAGGAUAAAAAAUAGUAGAAUUUCCAAAAGUGGGACUAGAUACCAAGACCUCAAGCACACCCUCAAAUCACUUAACCACUGAACCAAACACUAAUUUAUGACAAAGUUCAUAAAAAUAGAGUUUAAUAAAUCAGGGCGUUACAAGUUUGAAUCAAGAUAAAUUAUUAAUGGUGUGUUUCUUUUAUAAAAAUGACUCAUGAAAAAUGUUUUUCAUAUUUUCUUGUGUUUAUUUCAUUGAAAAUAACUUGGUUAAUGAAAAAUUACAUUGUUUUAUUUAUCAAAACACAAUGAUUAAUGGAAAAUAAGUCUUUUUUUUAGGAUUGCAAUAGAUUAAUAUGAAUAUCAUGAGUUAUCUUGCAAUAAAUCCAGUUGUUGUUGAUACUCUCUUCUGAGUUCCUUCUUCUCCUUCUUCCAUGACCCGAGCUCGUAGAAGGAAGAUAUAAAAGGGAACUAUGGAUAAUGUGGUCAGAUAUUCAUAAUAGAGUCUAACCCACUUUUGAAAAACGUGAGACAGUUUUUGAAAAAAAAAUCCCUUAGCAUUUUUAAUAUUUAUAUUAAUAUUUAAUAAUAAAUUUAAAAAUGUUUAGACUGAAUUUAAGGGAUUACAUCGGCCACUGAAAUGGCCUAGUACGAUCAGAGUUUAUAAAAUAGUCAAUUUAAAACAUUUAUUUAUUUUAGAAGAAAAUUUAGUCUAUUUUCAGAAAAACUCGCGAGUUAUUAAAAACGUUCCAGUUUAACUUUCCCAAGUAACAGUAACUUCUUUAUGAAAACUUAGUUAAAUUUUCACUUAUUUAUUACUCAAAAUUUUCAAUUACAAUCUGGCAGCGAAAAAGUGACUUUUAACUUAAUUUUAAUAAAACAUAUAUUUCAUGCUUAAUUAAUUAAAAAUCAUAUUUUACAUUAAGUUAAAUGUCAUGCAUGCUAAAUAAAACCAAAACCUAUGUCUCGUGCCACAGUUCAAAAAUAAAUCCAUACAAUCUUUGGAUAAUAAAUUAUCAAAUAAUAAAUCUAAAAUAUUUAUAUAGAAAAAGUAGACUAGAGCUAAGCCCCUCUGAAUGUCGUGUCUGCGACCUAACCUAGUGGGUUAUCUGAAAAGAUGGAAACUAAAAAGAGGGCGAGCUAUAAAGCUCAGAGUGAGUUCCAUCAUAAGCAAAACUAGUGUAAACAAUCAAUAAGUCAUGCUAAAUAAUAACGCAUAGAAUAAUUGCGGAUAACUAGCAAACCAAAGUAUCGAUUUUUCAUAUUGGCCUUCAAUAGCAUCUUAGAAUUCAUAAUAGUAAUUUCAUAAUAUCGUUAUUUUAGUUCACUCAACAAUUUAUACACAAGUAUAAAUUUGUCAUCAUAGAAAAUCCAAUUUGUAUGCACAUGCUUUAUAAAUGCCAUACAAUUUCAGUUUAACAAAAAAGAUUCUACCCCUCUCCCCGCUACACACCACACUAUGAGUUCCCCAGAACUCAUCCAACCUUAUAAUUCUGAAUUGUUGAUAAACCACUGCUGAUUUGCAGUUAUUUCCACUUGUUAUGGGUGCACAACAUAUUUGUAGAUUAAAGAAAUUGCUACUUGGUUCAUGAUCGAACCACACAUUUACAUAUUAAAUUGCCACUCUUCCUUCAUACAAAUCAUCCCACCCCAUACAAUGGAAUAUGACACACUUUGUAAUAGAAUAAAUCAACAUUAGCAAUACUAAUGCUUAACAUGUAUUUGAUUCAUUCGCUAGCAGUUAACAUGUUUUAACAAGUAUUUCAGUAGGGUGGUAUUAAUAUUAACACUAACAGAGUAUUUGUUUCACAAUGACAGUAGCAUGUAUAUACACUUCACAUACUAUAUAUUUAUAACACUUCAGUCAUUAAAUCACAAAUUCCAGAAUAUCACAAUGUCAAGGACUAAAUUAUACAAAUAAAAACUCUAAAAACAAUUCUAGGCAUAUAUAGGGCCUAAACUGAUCAUAUCAUACAUAUACAUAAUAUUAAUAAUUCAAUCAAUUGGAUCAUAGAUUCUUAUAUUAUUUGUUUUGUCAGGGACCUAAUUGAAUAAAAUAAAACACUAAAAAUAAUUAAGAAAUCAAUCAAGGUUUAAACAUGUCAAAACAUAAAAUUAUAGGUCCAAACUGUAAAAUUUGUGAAGCAGGGGACAUACGGCCAUAUGACCAGACUAUGUGGGAAGUCUUGUACCAUGUGGAGGGGUUACAUGACCAUGUGGCCAAGCUGUGUAACAGACUGAGGCCAUGUGGAAAUUGAAAAAUCAAUGUGCAAGGGAGACAUGACCAUGUGGUAAGCCAUGAAGAGGGUCCUAGGCCGUGUGAGAAACAAAUUCCUAGGGUUUCAAGUGGAACAUGAGCAUGUGAAGAGCCAUGUGGUCCACACGAGUGGCCCACACACUCAUGUGGUUGGCCGUAUAGCCCUGUUUCAAAGCACAAUUUGCCCCAAUUCACUUCUAAAAGAACACGCACCUAACUCUAGGAUCUCGAACACCGUUCCUCGCACUUGAACCUGGUCCGAGGUACUAAAUUGAGUCCUUCAAAUAACAUUUAUACAAGAAUUAUAAAGAUUUCAAGAGUCAUCAAGGUUAUCAAAAUAUUAGAUGAAAAAUCGAGAAGGAUCGUUUAAUCGGUCGUAAGAUUAUCGUUAAAUAGAAAAUCUAUAAAGAUUCAAUAUCAACUUCAGGAUUUAAGGCGUACUUACCGCUUCUUGGUAAAGAUUGAGGGGUUUCUUACGAAGAUUACGAUUUCAGUAAGAAAACGAGUUAAUAUCGAGAAUAGAUUUUGAUUUGGGAACAAAAAUAAUUUCAGUAGUGGAAUGACAAAUUUGAUGAAAAGGAAAGGGGAAGAAAAAAAAGAAGAAUAUAAAGAGAAAAGAAGGAGAAUUCAAAUUGAAUUAGAAAAGAAACCAAAAUCCUAAGGUAAUUAGGAUAAGAAUGACUAAAUAGCUAGGUUUUCAAAAUUUUAAGGGGCUGCAGGGUACCCAAUUUUAGCCAAAAUGGAAGAGACUGGCGUGACUUGAACUUGGGAAUUUAAAGGAGAAGUGCAAAGGUUUAACCAUUUGGUUUGAUGCCCACUCUUAGUAAUUUUUUGCCCCAAUUAAUAUUUAUUUUAGUAUGUUUUUUAUCCUUGCUUGCUGAAAAUUAAAAGCAAAGAAAUGGAAGAGAUGUGGAUAAAACUUAGAACCUCUAGGGAGUGCACUAAGAACUUAACCAUCAAGUCUAUUCAAUUAUUAGAUUAUUCAUUUCAUCUAACCCUCUAUGUUUUGGGUUGUGACAAUUAUAAUAUAUAAAUAUUUAAUAACAUAAGUUUUAUAAAAUAUGAAUAUUUUAAUAGUAUAAAUAUGAGUAUAUAUUUAAAUUAUGCUUAACUUCAUUCAGGGUCGAAGGAAAAAAUAAAAUAAAAUUUAGGGGUGAAAUUAAAUUGUAACUUUUACAAUUGUAAAACUCAAUUCCACCUUUUUAAUAACCUAUAUCUUUAUAAUUUUUAAAGGAUUAAAUCAAAAUUUUAUCAUUUUUAGGAGGCCAAAGUGUAAUUUUACCUUUAUUAAUUUAAAAUUUUAAAAAUUUUAUAGGGCCUAAAUGAAAAAAUUUUCAUUUUAGAGAUCCAGGGCGCCUGCCAACCCUUUAGUUACGCCCCUGACUUCAUUAAUCUCUUUGUACUCUAAUAUUCCAUUGCAACUUCAAAUUUAAGUUUUCAAUAGGCAUCAAUUAUUAUUAAAUUUAUAUAAGAUAAUGUAGUUAUUAUACGAUAAAAUUUUAAUUGUGAAAGGGUAAUAAUUUGAUAACAAAAUAUAAUUUAUUUAUGUUUUGUUUAAUUCAUUGAAAACUACUCUCAAAAAUAAUUUUAGAAAAAACUGUUAAAAAAUAAAAAAUAUUUUAGAGAAAACCAUUUAAAUGUAAAAGUAUUAAUUUUUUUAAAAAAAUUAAUUUACUUUUCAGAAAUUAUUUUCAAUUAUUUUCAAUUAUGGACCGAGAUUAGAGCAAUAAAAAAGACUUGGCACUUUAUACUUCUUAAUAACGAAGCUAUUGAGAGUCAUAAGCAGGAUAUGUUCAAAUUAUUGCUGUUUUCAUAUCAUUAGAUUCCGCAAUUUCUUAUGAUUACGCGCGUCAAUAAGGUAAGUUCGAGAGAGAAGUACCUAUGGGUUGGAUCCCUUCAACCCUAAAUUCAACUAUGCCCAAUAAUAAAAUAUAUUUUAUUAUUGAUCUGAAAUGAAAUAAAAUAUUUUAUUAUUGAAUAAUAAAUCACUUCAAGUUGGAUAACCCAAAUUACUUGAGACGUGUUUGGUUGAUCGAAUUUUACCUUUGGCCCGCAUUGUUAUAUUUUACAAUAAAAUUAUGUUCAUAGAAUUCUUAAAUUUUCAUUUAUUAUGUAAUCUUAUAUUUUAAAAUAGUAUUAAAAUGUUUUAAUGUAUGACGUAAUCUUAUUACUAUUUAUUAUUUAAGAAAAUUUAAACAAUGAGCGUAAUCUUAAGUUUUAAGCUCAUUUAUCUUCAUUUUUAUUAUUUUAAUCAGUUUAAUUUUUUUUCUAAUAAAAUUUAAGUCUAAUUUAUUAAAAAAAUCUCUACCUUUUUAACAUUGAACAGUAGAUAAAUUCUUUAAAAUAUUAUAAUUAUUAUAUUUACACUCAAGACUUAUUUUUUAGUAUUAUAAUUAUACUAUGAAUUAUUAUAAUUAUAAUUUAUGAAUUUAUUUCAUCAUUAUAUAAUUACUUAUUAAUAUAUAUAAAAGUUGUAAUAAAAAAAGUAAAAAUCUUGUAUCAUAGAGACUAAAAAAUAUUAAAUGAAUUAAAUUUAUUUUAAAAAUAAAUACAAUAACAAUGACAAUUUAAUAAAAUGUAUUUAUAAAUAAUUUUACAUUUCAUCUAAAUUUUAUAUCCAACUAAAUGAAACAAAUAAGAGAAUGAAACGUAUCGUAAUUUUAUGAGGAAAAGUAAUAAAGUGUCAAUAAAACAGAUGUAGUUAAGUAAUUUAAGCAAGCAAGGGGAAGAAGUAGGUGUAGGAGAGCGGAGACGAAGGCCAACGAGAGUCACGAGGAUAAUGUGAGAGGGAGAUUUGACAUUCCAAGUUUUGUUCUUUUCUCUAUUAAAGUAAUCUAAUCCCUGCAAAUUCUUUAUGCAGCUUUCAUAAUAUGAACUAAGGUCACAUUUGGUAUGAAGUUAAUUUUAAACAAUCAUAUCAUUAUAAUAUCAAAUAUAAUAGCUUUUUAACCAAUAUAUUAUACAAAAAAAAUUAGUACCUUUUAUAUAUAUAUAUAUAUAUUUUUUUUUUUUCUUUUAGGAUACCUUGAUAUUUAUGAACGUUGAGGUUUGUGACAUUUAAAUUCUUCAUAGAUUUCGUGCUCAACUAGGCAAAUAUAGGUGAAGUAUAGCUCCACACUCCUUUUAUCUAUUUUUAGUUUCUUACUUCUAAUUCAUUUGAUUUUUACUAGGAUUAAUAAAUUUAUUCAAUAUGCUAUAUCGAAUACUAAAAAAAGUGAGUAACAAACUUUAUUUUUUAUUAAAAUCACAUCUAAUUUAUAUCGUUAAACACCAUGACUUCAAAAUUUUAAUAAAAGUAAUAUAUUUAAAUAAAAUUCUAUUUAAAGAUAUUUAUAUAAUAACAUAAUCAAAAACCCCAUACUAAACUUAACACCCAUAAGUUUCAAGUUAAUCAGAAAUAAAUUUCUCAUACUCCUAAUGUCAAAAAUAAUAAUAAAAUAUUUAAUAUAUAUGUCAAAAACUGAACAAAGAUAUAUAUUGACUUUGAAGAGUUCUUUUCAUAAUUUUUGGAAUUCUAAAUUUGAUUUAUGAUUUAUUUGAAAUUUUUUAUUUUGAUAUAUUUUACAUUAUUUUUCGACAUGGCAUAAAAGAUAAAAUAUUAUCACGUUGGUAAUGAAAAGUUGAAGAUUAAUUUGCUCCAAAUAAAUGAGUGGGGCAAAAUUGAAUAAAUAUGUAGAGAUCAAGGACUAAAUUUAUUAUUAUGCUUUCUCUCUAUAUAUAGCACCAAAAUUAGCAUUUGAUAGAAAACUUUUACGAAAGAAUCAUUUUUUCCCCUUCAUCUAACAUGUAAAGACCAAUUUGCUCAUUUUUCUAUAGAUGGAUCAAAAUGCAAUUUGAAAUAUAGUAUAGAGACUGCUAUCGUACUUUUACAUAUUUUAUGUUUAAAAUUUAAAAGUACUAAACUUAAUUAACUUAUUUAUACUAAUAUUUCUGUUUCUAAUUAAAUUGGAGUCACGAAUCAACCGGAACAAUUAGGAGAUUACCAAAAAAAAA